CUAUGAUGAGCAUGAAACUCCUGCCAAGAAUUUAUUUAACGCGAUCGUUUAUAAGCGACCUCCACUACUUAUGAAUAUAAGUUUGUAACUAUUAGGUGAAACUCCCUUAUACUCUAGCAUCAUAUUCAUGCAUGCAAACUAAGUGUGCACUCUUAAUAAAAAUACAGGAAUAAGUUAUCAAUCAAGCAGUUAAACAAAUUGAAUUCACAACUUAUGAAAUCACAACUGAAGGUAAUCAAAUCAUAUUGCAAGCAUGAACAUGGUUUCGAAUUCCCCCCUAGCUAAGGGGGGUUUAGUUCCUCAUACUCACAAAGAAAAGAUAAACAAAUUUAGACAUUGAAAACAAAAGAAUGAAAACACCUAAAAACGCUCCAACAAUCCAACUUGAAUGGCAAGCACGUCCAAGGGUCCUCCUUCUUCUCUUUGUUGCGGCACAAGGUAUGGUUUGAUGGAUGAGUGGUAAAUUAUGGUGGUGGAUGGAUAUAAGUGAGUUAUGGUGAAGGGUGGAUGGGUGGAUUGUGUUCUCUCGGCCAAGGAAUGAAAGUGUAAGUGUAUGAAGUUGUGAGAUGUGAAUGUAGUGUCUUUUGAUUGAUCUUUUUCUCCCUCUUGUUAUGGUGAAGGAUGGAUGUAUUUAUAGUCUAGGGAGAGGACCACCAUCUAAUUAAGGUGGUAGUGGUGUAUGUUGUGGUAAUGAGUGGAUGUAAUGGGUGUAGUGGGUGAGUGUUUGGGAAUGAGUGGAUGUAAUGGGUGUAUUGGAUGGAUGUUUGGUAAUGAGUGGAUGUAAUGGGCGUAGUGGAUGGAUGUUUGGUAAUGAGUGGAUGUAAUGGGUGUAGUGGGUGGAUGUUUGUAAUGAGUGGAUGUAAUGGAUGUAGUGGAUGGAUGUUUGGUAAUGAGUGGAUGUAAUGGGUGUAGUGGAUGAAUAUUUGGUAAUGAGUGGAUGUAAUGGGUGUAGUGGAUGGAUGUUUGGUAAUGAGUGGAUGUAAUGAGUGUAGUGGAUGGAUGUUUAGUAAUGAGUGGAUGUAAUGGGUGCAGUGGAUGGAUGUUUGGUAAUGAGUGGAUGUAAUGAGUGUAAUGGAUGGAUGUUUGGAGUUGUAGGUCAACACACUUGCACACACACAUGCUGAUUUCUAUCCUUCAAAUCUUCAAAAACGUCCAUCCUCAUGUCUCCAUGCUUGCACUAUCCAAUCUUGGCCCAAAAAUGCUCCAAAUAGCACUUUGUUGCUAACUUUGUUAUUUGAACCUACAAACACACGAAAAUAGCUUAAAAUACAUAAUUGACUAAGAAAUAACAACAUAAAUGCACAAGAACAAGCUAACUAAGUCGCAUAAAUAUGCUCCUAUCAAAUUCCCCCACACUUAGCUUUUGCUAGUCCUCGAGCAAAACAGAACAAACAAACAAACAAAACAUAACCUAGACCUUCCAACAUUUGCCUCAGGGAUUUUCAAUGAAACAUGACAUGCCAAAGAUCACCACUUACAUAGAUUUAAGCAAUCCUUACCCUCGAGCAUACUUAAUCAUAGUCACCAUUCACUAGCUCACAUUUAAUCAAUUAAAACAACAUUUUGAAUGUAGUAACAUGCCUUAGAGAAUUCCCUCAAUUCCUUACUAGAUACUCUCUAUUUUCACACACAUUUUCUGGCUACACACCUUACACUAGUUAUAUGUGAGAAGAUUGAUGUAAACAUGGAAGACUAGUACUCACAUAUGUUAUAACAAAGAAAGCAAUUUUUGGAGUUAAUAAGCAUGUUUAGAUAUGAUCUUAUGAAUGAUAUGCUACUGCUUAGAUGCGAGAACCAGUGACACCAUAUGCUCAUACCAAUUUCGAACUCCACAAAUUGAAACACACAACACUCAAGAUUGAAGUUAAGGGUUGUAACAUGGCUUGGGGGUAAUGGCUAACAAAGAAAGGAUAGGAAUAACAAACGUUCUUAAAGUGAUAGCAAGCAAAGCAAUGAAAUAGACACUUCGAAUUCUCUUUAGAAUGUAGAAUCAACUUUUACAUACAAAGGGAAGAUUCAUGCAACACUUAGGGCCGAAUUCAAUGUGUUGGACCCUUUUUUAACAAACAACACUUUAGAGCUCUUGCUCAUACUCUUUUUUCUUUUCUCUACCCGUGCCUUAUUAAGGACUUUGGCACACACACACACAAUAAUCACUUCCCCCACACUUGUUUUUCUGCAAGAGUUCAACAAAAGGAAAUCCUUAUAAAUUAUGCUUUACUAUGCUUCAAGAACAAGGGUAUGGAUGGUCCUAUUCUAGGCGAGGUGAGGAUAGUGUGGGUAACAAAGAACAUAGGCUACACAAGGCUCAACAAGGUUAAACUUAAACACAUAAUGAACGGGAUAGGCUUUUUGGCUCUCGGCUCACUAAACCUUCAUCUUGAAUAUGUGUUAUGCAAAUCAAUAACAUGCUUUGAAUGAAAUAGGCAUAAGUUCUAGUAUUUGGAACUAAAUGAUGAAACGCAUUCUAAGUAGCAACCAAGCAAAGAAUAAUGAGAUCAUGCAACGACUUUAGAAAACAAUGAUGCACAUAUUAUUAACUCUCCAAAUAAAUGUUUAGGCUCAAGUCUCACAAGGUUGUAGCGUUCAUUUGAGUUCCUUCUUUCAAGCAUGUUACAAAAACUGAUUUUUUUUCUCUUUAUGAUUGCAUGUGAAUUCAUAAAUUAUAACCACAACCAAGCAUACACCAAAGAGUAAAUCAAAUUUUUAUCCAAGUUUAUAACUCUCUUUAACAGUCAUGUAAUUAAAAACCAAAUCCUCAUCAUUGUGUUGGAAGGUACCCUAAGACACAAAUAAACAUACAAAAACAACUCUUUUUGGGUUUUUCAAAACAAUUUUUCAAAUUUUUAUGAGAUUUUCGGAUUUUUAAAUCAAAACACACUAAUACACUCCAAAACAGCUUAAAAACACUUAAAACAGCAAGGAACAACACUAGAAGUAAUGGGUGAUAAACUCCUACGAAUUUCAUGCAAAACAACUUGGUUACCCCCCCACACUUAAAUCAAACAUUGUCCUCAAUGUUUCAAGCAUAAACUCACACAAAAACAAGCAAACAAACAAACAAUGAAUAAACAUGACAAGUAUGGUAAAGUAAAAACCAGACAGAGUAGAGUUUAAGAACGCAAAUCUGGUUUUAGAGAUAGAUGAUCUUGUUGACUUUCCACAGCUUUGAUCUCGAACUGGUUUGGAAUUCUGAGUAAGGACUAUAAGAGUUCCUUGGUUUCAAAUCAGACUCCUUCUGUUGUGUUGAUUUGAUUGUGCAUUCUGCAUUCUUCUCUGCUUGUUUCUUCUGCACGACAGGCAGGCACGAGGCAGAGGUGUUGGUCUGUUUCUUUCUACAAUCUUUCCAGGUGCCCACCUCUUGCUUUCUUUCUCCUUAUCCCUAGCUGACGAUGAAUUGGCACAUUGUUUACACAUGCUUCAAGGUAUCAUUUUCACUUCCCUUAUCUGUUCUCAUGGCAUAUGUGGUAGACAAAGAGGAAGCAUGAGAUGAUGAAGAUGAGUACUCGAGAGCAAGGCUAGGUAAGCAAUCAGGAAGGGGUUCCAGGCAGUCGGUUCCAGAGCGGAAGAUUGAUACCAAGUGUUGGCUGAUUGCUCUCUUUCUCCUUGUCCCAAAACAAUGACGAUGAGAAGGACAGGGAGAAAGCAUGAUAUGAGAUACUCUUGCUUUCAACCUUCAUGAUAUGAAAUACUUUUGCUUUGGAUGUGUUGUUUACAGAGGUACCCCAAGGAAUAAGGAACACUGAGUGACUCGAGAGGGUUUGUUGGAAAAGCAUUCUCGGAGAAGAAGAAGGGUUAUGUAUGUCUGCCUUGCAAUGGAGGGUGAAAGGUGACAUUUAUAGGAAUUAAUAACCAGUACUGUUCUUUCACUAUUGUGAGCAACCGUUGGAUGAUUUAUAGUAAACUUCACGUGCUUUCUACUUCACAAUAGAUCUUCGACAGAUUGCCCGUAAUUUCCGUAAGGCUAAGUGUGCAUGUGACAGGCGCUGACGCGUCUGGAAAAGCAAGUACCUCUUCGAUAUCUGGAAUCGACGCUUCGACAAACUACCCGUGAUUUUCGCAAAGUUGAUUCUGCAUGUGACAGAUGCUAACACGUCUGGAAAAGCAGAUGCCUUUCCGAUAUCUGGAAUUGGCGCUUCGAAUAACUGCCCAUGAUUUCCGCAAAGCUGACUCUGCAUGUGACAGAUGCUGACACGUCUGGAAAAGCAGAUGCCUCUCCGAUAUCUAAGCUUGCCUCUUCGAUAUCUGAAAUCCAGUCGAGUGCAGAGGUUGCAUGUGACAAGUGCGAACAAAUCUAGAAAAGAAGAUUGGCCGUGGUUUCUGAGCAAGCCCAGCUUUUGAGAAAGCUAGCGCCUCUUCGAUUUUUGAGUUGGCCUCUUCGAUUUCUGAGCUCGCCUCUUCGAUCUCUAAAAUCCCGUCGAGUGCUGAUUUUUAUAGAAGUACGCAGGAAGUUCAAAGCACACUUGAAUUUCUGCCUGUAGAAACUCCCUUCUUGCACUUCUACGAUCUUGACUUGUCCGGCCUCUUUUUUCUUUAACACCUCUGAAAAUGUCUGGCCCCUCCGACCGUCAUUUUGACUUGAACCUUGGUGAAGAGGCAGUCCCGCCUUCUUCAGACAACAUAUGGCGCCCAUCCUUCAUAUCCCUUACUGGUCCCCUUACCGUUGGGGAUUCGGUGAUGAAGAAUGAUAUGACAGCUGCGGUGGUGGCCAGGAGCCUUGUCACUCCCAAAGAUAACAGACUACUUGCCAAACAGUCUGAUGAGUUUGCUGUUAAGGAUUCUUUGGCUUUAAGUGUGCAGUGUGCAGGUUCUGUGUCUAAUAUGGCCCAACGCCUAUUUGCUCGAACCCGUCAAGUUGAAUCAUUGGCGGCUGAAGUGAUGAGUCUCAAACAGGAAAUUAGAGGGCUCAAGCAUGAGAAUAAACAGUUGCACAGGCUCGCACAUAACUAUGCUACAAACAUGAAGAAGAAGAUUGACCAGAUGCAGGAAUCUGAUGGUCAGAUUUUACUUGAUCAUCAGAGGUUUGUGGGUUUGUUCCAACAGUAUUUGCCUUCGUCUUCUGGGGUUGUACCGCGUAAUGAAGCUCCAAAUGAUCAACCUCCGAUGCUUCCUCCUUCUAGGGCUCCGCCGACUACUGAGACUUCUCCUAAGCAGCCUUUGUGAAGGCUCCCUCUUAUAGCUUUUUUAUGAAAAUGAAUGUAAAAAUACCUUGCAUAACUGGCAAUGUUUUAAAAAUAAACCCACACCAAAAACAAUUAUACAAGCAACAAAUAAAAAUGACAAUCAUGGCAAAAUAAAAUUACAGAAAAAGGAAGGUUUUUAGGAAUGCAAAACCAAUAGUGGAGCAAUUCAAAAAUCUUCCUUAUUUGAAUACAUGGGUUGCCUCCCAAGAAGCGCUUGCUUUAACGUCCUCCAGUCAGAUGAAACUUCCUUCUAAACUUGGAUAGGGCCCAUAGCAUGGAAUUGAUCCUUGAAUGGACGGUGAUACUUGACGUGAUCUGGCAAUAGUUUAAAUUCUAGUGUAGGUGCCUGAAUCAUCAAAAUCAGCAAGUUAGUAUAUAAUAAAAUCGAAGUUGGUGAAGAUGGCUUACUUGCUUGCUCCAACACAAACUCAAUUACGAACACCACAUCUUUGAAGGUUGCAGGGAUAUGGGACUUAGCCAGAUGAUUUGGUGUUUUGAGAGUUAUGACUUGUCCCGUGUCAUAAAAUCCAACUUCUUUGGUAAUUUUCGUCUCAAGUGUAUCUUCUUUGAUGAAUUCUAGACAUUCCCCAUCCACUUCUUGCUCUUGAUUCGUUGGAAAGGUUUCAAAGAUGCUUUUCUCACCCUCUUCUUCCUUGGAUUGCAUGAUCCUGCAAGGAAUAAGGACAUUUGGUGAAAUGGGGUCAAGACAAAUUGAAUUUAGGCUUACCUUGGUUGUAGUGGAAGGCAUAGAGGGCAUAUGGGGUUACGGCAAGGGUGGUUCUUCCCUUACCGUGGCUUUGUUAUUCUCCUCUUCUUCGAGCAUCAGUUGUUCAUCCAUGUUUUGGCUUGGUUUGGAUGUCUUGGGUUCACCUCCAACCUCCAUAGCACUUCCCAAAGUGAUAGCAUCAUGGAUUUCAAAAUCUUCCUUCAAAUUUUCAACAGUUGAGUUGGAGAGUUCACUUUGCUCUUGAAUUUGUGCCAUGAACUCCAUAAUCUGCCCAAUUUGCUUCUCCAAUUCACCCGUCUUCUUGGCUUGAUUUUGCAUCUCUUUGUUUCCAUUUUCUACUUCCUGGUUCAAAGAGAUGAGUAACAUAUUAAACAUAUCAUUAUCCAAAGACAUACCUGAAUUGAAUUGGGUAAAUUGUUGUGGUGGCUGCAUAGGUCUUGAAUAGAACUCAUCUUCUUGCUGCCAAUACCCAUCUUGUUGGAAUUUUUGAGGUUCUUCCCACAUGUAAUCUGAAUAAUCUCUCCAAUCCGAAUUGUAAGCGUUGGAAAACAUGUUGUCCCAUGAUUGGCUAUGGCCUUGAUAACCCCAAGCAUCUUCAUUCGCAGCGAAUUGAGAACAUUGAUGAGUUGGAUAUCCUUGCCCAUAGGACACACCAUAUGUUGGGACACUUUGCAUUGUGGUCGCUUCAGCAUAUUGUGACAAUUGAGAAGUAAGUUUCACCAAUUGAGCUUGAAUGGUAGCAAAAUCCAUGUCUUGCUUCUCUAGUACCUGAAAUCAAGGAAACAAAACUAAAUCAAAUAUCAUAAGUAAGAAAUAAAAGACACAAAUAGAAACAAAGUCAGUAACUAAAACAAAAGACAUGAAAAAGAAACAACGGGGGAUUAGCAAAGUUGCUAAUCCCCGGCAACGGCGCCAAAAAUUUGAUGCGAAAAUUAACUUAACACACAAAUUAAACCCUCUUGUUGUCAAAUUGUAGUAUAAAUGCAAGAAGGGAUCGUUCUAAACCGGGGAUUAGGAGGGCUUGCUAAAACCUCUAAACUGACUUAAAAACAUAUAAACAAAGCUAAAAACACUAAACUAGACUCAAAGAACUUAAAACAAGCUCAAAGGACUCAAAACAAGCUAAAAACGCUCAAAUCUGCCUAAAAAUACAAACUGGGCAGAUUUGGACUCUAACACACUUUUGGGACACCUAAUCUACUAUCCAAUGUGAUUCAUUUACUUAUAUGAUUACCUUGAAUGUGAUUUGGAAUGACUUCUUAAAUCUCAUUCAUACUCUGGCCAGAGAUUCUUAAUCAUAUCAUAAAGUAUUCUCCUUCAAACGGUUUGAAGGUUAGAGAUCCCUUGUUGCGCAUUCACUUGCCUCCAUGGCUAAGUGGCUUAACCCCAACUAUGCCGUGGACACCCUCUGAUGGAGUGACUUUCACAUAGUCAAAGAUCAAGGACUUAACAACAAGACAACUAUGAUGGCUCAAGUCAAAUGACUACUUUGCAUUAUCCCAACCAUGAGUUCUCAUGUGACAUGAGUAUGAGAACUCCUUCGUUGAUCGUGUUCAGUGGAACUCAUUCUCUAUUGAGCACCUACAUACUUGUCUUGAUGUCACAUCACACCAAUGACUCGAGACUAGUCACUCUCCCUGAGAGAAGACACAGCACGUACUGAUCUUAACGGACUGUCAAUGCCCAAUUGGCAAUCCUAUGAUCAGGAACGUUUAGGAUAUGUAUACGAAAGAGAAUGGUCUCAUGAAUCUAACUUCUUUUAGAUUACAUUCUCCCAAUCACAUAUUCCUUGGACUUUAUCGUUUAAGCAUAUAACAUUUAUAUGAGACGGCUUAAAAACAAUAAUCUUUGCCCUUUAUAUUAAACUAGAUUAGUUUAACAUGUGAAAUGUCCGUAAAGUAUCAUCACAUGAUUGGUUUUAGGGCACAUUUCCAACAAUCUCCCACUUGCACUAGAGCCAAUCAGCUUGGUCAUCAGUGAUGAUACCUCUUCUUUAGUCAUUUCAUAAAAAUGGCUGAAGUAGUAGGCCUAGACAAUGGAUAUCUAUAUGUUAUCCAUAGAAGCAACCUUGAGAAUAACGACGUCACCAUUAUACAUGAUUCUCAAUCAUGUGGUUCAGUCUCUCAUUUGAGUUCGGAUCUUGAUGAGACCUUGAUUCCCUGGCUUGAGCUAUCGCCCCAUUAGUGUCGUAGUGUCGGUACACUAGAGACACUUUCUGGUUGGAACCGAAUAGAGAGUUCAUAAAUGAACUUUCCCAUCCAAACAACAUUGUUGUAAGCUUCUAUAUGGCAAUAUAUUUUGCAUUCAUAAUGGAACACACUAAAGUCAUUACUUUUAAUGUUUCCAUCCAAAUAUCUCUUUAGUCAUAAUAAAGAGAUAUCUGAUUUAUCUCUUCAUUCAUAAUGAAGAAACAUCCAAUGAUGGAUUAGAUUCAUAAUCUAAUACAUUUACGCUUCCAUUACGUUACUCUAAUUCUUCCUCAUUCUUUGAGGAAUCUAUCCUUUAGUAUUUCUUAAAUACUUAAGGACUCACUUGACAGUUGCCAUGGUUCUGAUCCUGGGCUUGCACUGAUAUCGUCUUGUACCGUUCUAGGUACAACUCAUAUCAAUGUUUUUCAUACAAUAUGAAAUACAUAAAUCACCUUUCUGCGUAUGCAUAAAGGAUUCUAUUUACGCAUUAUUUCUUUGGGAGUCAAAGGGUACGUUCCCUUUGAGAAGAGCAACUUGCUAGUCUCACUAGACUUGUCCUUCUAAUUGAAGUUUAUCAUCAUAUGAGAAACUUCCUAGCAUCUUUUGUCUAUUAUAGGGAUUGAUAUAAUCCAAUUAUAUCAUGAAAUCUAUCAUUAUAGAUUUCCAUCCCAUGUAUAUAGACUAUGUCUCCCAUAUACAUUCUAUCGUUCAUAGAAUGUUUAAAGUCAUAACUUUAACGAAGAAGUAUUCUUUUUCAUUUCCAAAAUUAAUAUAUCAUAAUAUUUGUAUAUAUAUAUAUAUAUCAAAUUUAGGAACAUGAUUAACUCCCACUAAUCUUUUGUAAACCUAGUAAACAAAAGAUUCAUUUACAUCUUUAUGAGAAAUCAAACGAUUUGAUCCUUUUCUCUCAUAAGACGCUUAUAGCUCCCACUAGCUUGCUAAGAUCCAUGAUGGAUGGAUCUCUACAACUUACAUGUCUUGUGAUUCAUAGUUUUAGACAUAUAUUAUCAAGACUAUCUUAAUAAUGGUUUCGGAAACCCAUAUUAUGUCCAAAACAUUGAAUCACCAUUUAGUUGUAGCUAGCAAUCUUCGAAUUAAUUGAAACCAAGACUACGUCAAAGAUGGUUUCUUCAAAGUCAACCAUUCUCUUUGAUUGUAGUCACCUUAAGCUACCAAUUAGCUAUGAAGGUUUCAUUAUUUCGGGUCAAAUGGUACUUUACCAUUUCCUUGAGUAUAUAUCGUAUAUACACUCAAUGUAGUCAUAAGGAUUUUCAUUCUUAUUUCUUUCGAAUUAAGAGGUGCAACUCUAUGACAUAGUCAUAAAGUUCAAACCAUUCAACUGAGACUUCAACUGAGACGGUUUAUAAAUCCUUCUCGACUACCUUGGAGCUUGUGGUAUAGGAACUAGGUUGUUAUAUUUGUUGAUUAUCAUUCUUGUCUCUCAAAGAACCCAUUCUUUGAGUUCUAUCUCUCGUUCAUUUGCUCUUAGGCAAAUCACAUUGUAGGAUUACAAUGAACUACCCAACAAAAACAACAUUUGUUAGUUGGUUUAUAGAAGCGAUAUCCAAAAGUUAAUUUAAGGAUAUCCCACAAGAUUGUUAUCAAACAAAUAUUGCUUAUUAGCACACAACCCCAAAUCUUAACAUGCUUAAGAUUUGUCUUUCUUUCCAACUACAUCCUUAUGGAGUCAUGAAAAAUUUUGGAAGAUCUUCUAAUUGACAAUCAUAUUGUUUUAGAAGUAUAUAUCCUAUAUAUGGGUAAUUGAUAACAUCCAACGAACUAAAUCUUAUUCGAAGUUCGUUCUUCUCCUUAAUGGAGAAAUCCAUUAUCUUAUGAUGCUUCUUUCCUUGAUAUCUUUCAAGGAAACUGUUCUAAAGUGUUACCUUUCCUUGGAUCAAAUCUAAGGAGGUAAAUACUUUAGACGUCUUACUCAUCAACUUACAUUUCUUGAAUUCUUUGAAACCUUUUGCAAAGUAUUCGGACUUGUGUUUAUUCAAAAUAAACUAUAGUCCAACCGAGAGUGAUCUUCGGUGAAUGUCAUACAACAUGAGUAGUAUUAUGUUGUGGACAAGUGCCACUAACAUCUAAGUGAAUUAACCUCAACAACUUUGUGAUUCUUUCUUCUUUCCAAAAGAAUAAAGAUUCAAACAUUUCGCCUCUAUACAAUUUUAACAAGAAGGUAUUGGAUCCGGAUCUAACGAUCCAAAGCAUCCAUCUAUGACCAACUCGUAAUUUAUGUUUUAGAGGUAUCACAACUUUAGUUGGGAUUAGUCACUACCUUGCAACCUUUUUGGGUUUUAAGCAUCAUUAUAUUCUAAACAGUUAACACCACCAUAUUAUCUCUACUAUAGAGACAAUCAAUUAGAUUACAAUAAUCCAAUCAUUGAUUAAUAAAGAACAAUGUUUUGUCAAACAAAACAUUCAUCCAUCUCUUAUAGUGACGGAAUUAAGUUCCUUAAAAUUGGAAUGUAAAGACAAUCUUUGUUUUUCCAAUUUCUUUGGUAGUUCAUAUGAGGAAGUAAGUACCAUCUGCUUUCGCAGAGAUCUACAUUUGAUUCACGUUCCGAAUGUGAAGUACUUUCUCUUCUCUCAUUAAUCUUCUACUUCUUAUUAGCCACACUUUUACAACGAUUGUAAAACAUAGUUACUAAUACGGAAUCAAGCAUUCAAGUAGAAGAACCAACUGUUUUGAACUAUUCAAGAACAAUUUACAACACCUUCGAAAGGUGUGUUCUUGACACUUGCAAGACAUUUCUUGCAAAUACCCCUUCCAAUGUCCAUCCUUUCAUAAAGAAAGUUUGUUAACUUGGAGUUUAUUUCGCUUUUUCAUUUGACUUCUCCUUUGACUACAAUAGUCAUGGUCCCUAAACUCCCACUAUCUCUCUUGAAACUUAUUUCAAUUGUGUUAUACACAUCAAACAAUUUGGAGAGCAUGUGGUUAUUGUUCACUAUAUAGUUUACAAUAAACUUAGUGAACCAUUUGGAUAGGGACACAAAGGUGAAGUCCUUGCCUAGUUUCCGUCUCUAGAAGUGGUUUAACACUUCAACACUCAAUGAUUCAAAAUCAUCAUAAGUCCAUGUUGAAUGGACUAUUUUUGUCAACCAACCAUUAUGUUCUAAACAUAAUUACAAACUUUCAAGAGUUGUUCAAGGCAACUCUCAUUUCUUCAUACAACAAUUUGUAAGUGAAGAAUCAUGGCACAUAAAGUGUCCAUGCCCUUUGUGCUUUCUUCUCAAGUUCUUUGUUCAUUUAACAAAGAAACAAGCACUAAGUGUUUGCAUUGACUAAGGGUUGUUCAAAGCAACUCUUAUUUCUUCAUACAACGAAUUUGUAAGUUGAAGAACUUAUGACAUUAAAAGUGUUGUCCUCUUUAUGAUAGACUUAUCUAACAUGUUCUUCCAAUGAUACAUUAUCAAUAGGAAGAUUGUGAGGAUGAGACUACUUAGGUACAUAUACAAUCCAUUUAAGACAAUCUUUGGGAUUGUGGUACCAAGUCCGGAAACUAAAGCAUUCGGCUUUUCUUUGUCAAGUUUUUGGAUAGCGUUUGCAAAUAUAUUGGUAAACAAAUACAUAACGAAUAUAAAUUGAUUGAUUUUAAGCCAUUUGAUUCGGGUCUUUAAAUCAAAUAGCACCACCCACUAUUUUUGGCAAAUUCCAUAUCCCUCAUUGGAAUUCGAGAGUUUUGGAGGAAACUCUUAGUAGGGUAUGGGAGACUCACUAUUACCAAGCCCACCUCACAAUGAUAUGAUGUUGGCUAGCAUUAAUAAUAAUGAGAGAGUACGCUUACUCAUUUGCAUCUCUUGCAAGUACCCAUCUUAUUUGGCCUCUAGAGAAUGAAGCCUCACAAUGAUAUGAUGUUGGCUCCAUUGGACUUAGUUAAGUCAUUCCCACCAUGCAAGUUCGAGUAGGGGUUCAAGAACAACCUCACAAUGUUAUGAUGUUGAUCAUUCUCGUUGCCUACCUUCACAACAUCAUAUAUGCGUAUAGGAUUCCUCCUGAGUGUAAGCACGCACUUUGUACUCCCCCAUGAUAGGGUGAAGUCGGUGUACGAGUCACAAACGAUCGGAGCCUACCACGGUGGAAGGCCACGAAAGAGUGUUCAAAGCACUCUCACGCUUUAUCAACUUAAAAUGAUUUGGUUGAGGGUUUUAGGUCUCAUCUUAUAUAAACAUACAUUUUAAUCUCUAUUAAAACAAUUUUGGUCCUAUUACAACUAUUGGUCCAUAUGAUUGUUUUAGUUGUAUAUAAUACUCCCACUAUGCUUAUAAAACGGUUUUUAAAGCAAGAGUAUAUGAUACUACUAACAUAAGGUUUGCAUUCAUUUGAUGGACUAUAUAGUUGCCUUAGGGCCUUAGGAUGACUAUGAACCUUUGUUUAGAUUCAACACGAGCCUAGUGUUGAAUCUCGGUCUAGGGAUGGUGAUUGAUUUUUAGUUACGCGUUUAAUCACAUUAAGGCGUGUUUUUCUAUUGGGCGUUGGACCCAACUACUUCAAUUUUCAUGCAUAUCAAAUAAAGCAAGAAAGGAAGUACUUCAAAGUAAAGAAGUGAGCUUAUGCUCUUUUACAACAUUUGCAUAAAACAAAUUACUUUAAAGUAAAGAAGAGCUUGUGCUCUUUUACAACAUUUGAUCAAAUCAAAUUACAACCAAAAUCUAAUCUACACAUUCCCAUGGUUCAAACAAAUUUGAAACGGCCUUUCACAUAGCUCAAUUAUCGUAGGCUUAGGUUCAUAAUCACCCUUUAAUUAAUUAACGCUUUAACUAAUUAAACUUGAAUGCAACAUUUUCAUUUGGUUUUUGUAUCCAUAAAAUUGAUUUAAAUGGAGCUAAAUGAAAUGAAAAUCCAAUUCUCAUUUAAAGAGACAAAACAAUUUUGUUCUCUACCUAAUUUGGGCCAACAUGAAAUAACCACAACAUUUUGGCUAUAUUGCAAAACACAAACUUUUGGGGUCACUUUGUAAAAACACAAAAGUCCACUACUUCAUGUAAUUACAACUAGAACCCAAAAAUUUCAACAAAUACAAAAACUUCAUUAAAGGAACAAAAACAUUUGUCCUUUAGUGAUUUUGGGCCUUUAACGUAAAACGUAAACUUUUGGGUCAAACUGCAAAUACACAAAAGUAUCAAAACUUUAUGUAAUUGCAUAAAAGCCCCAAAAGAACCCUAUUUUAAUAGGGUGGCCGGUUAUAGAGAGUGAAGGGAGUGAUGUGUGUGUUGAUUUGUAGGUUUGACAUAAAGUCAUGCAAGUGGUGCAAGAGGUGUGUGACAUAAAUUCAUGCAAGUGGUGCAUGACAUAAAUUCAUGCAAGUGGUGUGUGUGUAAGAGAAGUACUUCUUACACACCCAUCACCAUUUCUAUCACCUCUCAAAAUUUCAAUCACAUUUAAACAUUUGAAAAAGCACAAAACAAAGACUUUAUGAAAUAAAUCAAAACUUUGAAUCAAAACACCAAACUUUUUGUUCUUGGCUAAAUCAUCAAGAACAAUGAAGAACAUUUAUGAAAAACCCAUAAAAGCUCCAUGAACAUUUUUCACCCAAAGACAUCCCAAAAACACUCAAACUUAAGGGAAAUAACAUAUAACCAUACUAGGGUACAUAGGGGUUCCAAAAGUCACUGGAAAACACUUUUAACAAGACAAACAUGAACCCAAAAAUCUACCCUUUGGAUUUGGCCGAAUUUCCCAAAACCAUGGCACCAAAUUUUUUAGCUCCAAAAUUCAUGCUCAUAUGAACUACAUCUACAACAUUUGAGAUGGCAAAUUUUCUAACAAAAUUUACAUUCAAAGAAGCAAGAAUAAAGCUUGUAACAAUUACAACAUUUUAAAUCAAAACUAUGAACUACAAAACCCAAAAGGAUUCACCAACUACUAGACCUAGGCUCUGAUACCACUUGAAGGAAAUUUUGUGAAAAACAUGUUCAUUUGAAGCAACAUCUAUAAGCAUGCAAUUAACAAAUUAAAGGCGGAAUCAUGCUUGCAUGCACUUCAAAAACAAAACAUUACCCAUGAAAUUCAAAGCCUAGUAGAUUAGGUGAACCAAGACUCAACUCAAAACAAAGUGAGUUAAGAAAUUUAUACCUUUGUAGAUUCCUCUUUGCAUAAGCAAAGGCUAAUCACCCAAGAGAUAGGGCCUUCAUUCCUUGCUUCUUAGCUCCAUGGAUUUGGAUGAAAGAAUUGGUUUCUCCAAGUUCUCCAAAGUUGAGAACCUCUAAGUCUCCACACCAAGGAAGGAUUGAUGAAGAAAUGAGUGACCUUGAGAGAAGUAAGAUUGCUAGCUAUGUUCCUCUAAGGGUGGCCGGCCUCUUAGAGAGCAAAGAGAGCUUUUGUUCUCAUCUUUUCUCCCAAAAGAAACCCUAAUGAAUUGAAAAGGCUAUAAAAAGUCAUAUUUAUACCUACCUUCAUUGGAGUGGCAAACUUGUAAUAAGUCCAAAAACCCACUCCAUUAUCAAAUAUGGCCCGGCCAUAGGGGUGUUAUUGGGCUAUUUGGGCCUUUGUGAAUCAUUUAGUCAUUAAGUUGUCAUACAACUUAAGUCAAUGGGCUUGACAUUUGAAGCCCAUUGGGCCUUGAGGCCCAAAACUAACCCAAGGUCUUUAACGAACUUUAUUCGUUUGAUUAAUUAACAUAUUAAUUAAUCUUUGCCAUAAAUAAUUAAACCAUUUAAUUAUCCUUACUCAUCUCCGUUGUUUCUUCAAUCUCUGCCUUACACGGUGUACGAUCCAUUAGGUUCCUUUUAGCGAGGCAGUGGGCGAUUUAGAACUCUUUCAAAUCGAUUGUGAAUUGAAACUUACUUUCAAUUCUCCCUUUAGUGAUUAUACACAUUUAGGGCUUCCACAAACCAUGAGUGACACCUAGCAGUAUGUCACGGUUACCCAAGCUAAUCAGAAGAGGUGGAGAACCUAUUCAGUUUAGGAUUACAAUGCAAUACGGUCUUUCUCUAAUACAAUACUCUUGACCACAUUGUUUGGAUUGAUAGUUUAUUCAUGUCUACUAUCCAAUGUGAUUCAUUUACUUAUAUGAUUACCUUGAAUGUGAUUUGGAAUGACUUCCUAAAUCUCAUUCAUACUCUGGCCAGAGAUUCUUAAUCAUAUCAUAGAGUAUUCUCCUUCAAACGGUUUGAAGGUUAGAGAUCCCUUGUUGCGCAUUCACUUGCCUCCAUGGCUAAGUGGCUUAACCCCAACUAUGCCGUGGACACCCUCUGAUGGAGUGACUUUGACAUAGUCAAAGAUCAAGGACUUAACCACAAAACAACUAUGAUGCCUCAGGUCAAAGGACUACUUUGCAUUAUCCCAACCAUGAGUUCUCAUGUGACAUGAGUAUGAGAACUUCUCGUUGAUCGUGUUCAGUGGACUCAUUUGCUAUUGAGCACCUACAUGCUUGUCUUGGUGUCAAUCACACCAAUGACUAGAGACCAGUCACUCUCCAUGAAAGAAGACACAGCACGUACUGAUCUUAACGGACUGUCAAUGCCCAAUUAGCAAUCCUAUGAUCAGGAACGUUUAGGAUAUGUAUACGAAAGAGAAUCGUCUCAUAAAUCUAACUUGUUUAAAUUACAUUCUCCUAAUUACAUAUUCCUUGGACUUAUUGUUUAAGCAUAUAACAUUUAUAUGAGACGGCUUAAAACAAUAAUCUUUGCCCUUGAUAUUAAACUAGAUUAGUUUAACAUGUGAAAUGUCCUUAAAGUAUCAUCACAUGAUUGGUUUUAGGGAACAUUUCCGACAGAAAAUGUGUUUGUUUUGUGGUUGAAAUGAUGACGAACAUGUGUGUGCAAGGGUAACAACUAGUACAAUGUGGAAAUGAUGAUUACAUGGCAGCACACACACAUGGGAAAGCAAAGAAUACACAUCACAUGGACAGCACGGCACAUGGGCAGAAAAAAGGUGGUUUUGUGGCUGAAAUGAUGGAGGUCAUGUGUGUGCAAAUGUAAAGGGAAACAUGGAUAGCACACACCCAUACAAACUGCACAUGUAAGGAAUUGAAGUGGUCCUCUCCUUAGCCUAUAAAUACAACCACCAUUCCCCUUCCUAAAAAAAAUCUUGAUACAUAAAAAAAAAAAAAGAGCUUCAUUCACAAACACAAGUCCCUUGCCGUGAGCUCCAUUCCAUUUCAUCCAUACAUUCAAACACAUCUCCAUACACUUCCAUUUUCAUUGCCAUGAGAUCCAUUCCAUCCAUACAUCCAUAAAUCCCACAUUUCACAAACACAAAUACAUUUUCCUUCCCUUGGCCGAGACAUUCACCAAUCCUAAAUACAUUCCUAACCUUUCCAUAUAUCCAUACACAUCCUAGACACUUAUGCCGCAACAAAGAGAAGAAGGAGGAGCCUUGGACGUGCUUGCCAUUCAAGUUGGAUUGUUAGAGCGUUUUUAGAUGUUUUCAUUCUUUUAUUUUCAAUGUCUAAAUUUGUUUAUCUUUGCUUUGUGAGUAUGAAGAACUAAACCCCCCUUAGCUAGAGGGGGAAUUCGAAACCAUGUUCAUGCUUGCAAUAUGAUUUGAUUACUUUCAGUUGUGAUUCAUAAGUUGUGAAUUCAAUUUACUUAUCCAUUUGAAUUAAAACUGAUUUGUGUAUGUUGGUUGAGAGUGCACGCUUAAUUUUCAUGCAUAAAUCUGAUGCUAGGAUAUAAGGGAGUUUCACCUAAUCGUUAUGAACUUAUAUUCACAAGUAGUAAAGGUUGCUCGUCACAACCGUGUUAAGUAAAUUCUUGGCAUAAGUUUCAUGCAAUUCAUAGUUACAAGUGUUUCGUCAAUGCUUAUGAUUUUCAUUGAACUUAAUGAUUCUUGCUUGUAUCUCUAUUAUGCAAUUCAUGUAGGGAACUUGUGGGGAAUGCUUUGGGUUGUUGUAUGCAAUCAUCCAAUUCAAUGAAAUUAGGAAAAUCUGAGGGUUAAUUAGUGCAAUUCACAGUUAAUCUGGGGCGUUGAGAAUUCGUAGUUUAUUGAAAAGCAAUUGGAAAUCGUUUUGUUUGCCAGUGUGUCAUGUGUGAAGAAGAACCUCCUAGCUAGCCUUCCAUCCAUUCAAUUUACUCAAAUUCGUGCAGAUUUCAUUAGUUAUUUAAUUUACUUGUUUUGUUUUCAAAUUCAUCAAAACCAAAACCCCAUUUACCUUGUUGAGUCAUAUUAGUUAGAAACUGAUUUAGUUUGUGCUUUUAAGUAUUUCAAACCAAGUUGAAAUCAAAAUUCGUCCAAAAGUGUGUUUAGAGUCCAAAUCUACCCAGUUUGUGUUUUUAGGCAGAUUUGAGUGUUUUUAGCUUGUUUUGAGUUCUUUGAGUUUGUUUUGAAUUCUUUGAGUCUAGUUUAGUGUUUUUAACUAUGUUUAUAUGUUUUUAAGUCAGUUUAGAGCUUAUUAGCAAGCCCUCCUAAUCCCCGGUCCAGAACAAUCCCUACUUAUACUUAUACUACAAUUGUUAAAAGAGGAUUUAAUUUGUGUGUUAAGUUAAUUUUCACAUCAACACAGUAGGCUGUAACUUUGACCCAAACUCUAUCCCUGAAUCUGCAGCAGAGAGCUUGCUCGACCUCAACCCGCUUGCCCCACCACCACCGCCGCCUCCACAACAACAAGUUCUCAUGCCUUGUUCAGAGACCCACACAACAACACCAUUGACCAUAACAACGAAAUCAACAAUUCCCAUUUGGUGUCUUUUGAGCACCCAACAAAUUGGGACAACAAUAUUCAUGGAGUCCAUGAUCAGAUGCAGCAACAAGUCCCGGAUAGUACUACUACUGCUAUUUCUACCCCUUACCUACGACCACCUGACCUUCUUAACUUUUUCAGCUUACCCAGAUGCUCUCAUUCCUCUCGUCUCCAAAAUCCAUCCAUCAUCUUCACAAACCCCAUCCCAAAAACCUCGAAUUUUUCGAGCUCUUUGGAGUCCCUCAGAGACCUCCCCUAGCGCGGUUGACACCCCAUAAGGGACGGUUUCUUUCGUUCUCUAUGACCCAAUUUUCCAUUUGAACCUCCCUUCACAGUCGCCAUUAUUCAGGGAGUUGCUUCAGUCUCUGCCGUAUGGGUACACCUUGCCUGGCUCAGGAAACGGGUCGCUGUUCAGUAGCGGCAUCAAUAAGAGAAAGAGAAGUGAAAGAGGGGUUCUGUAUGACCUAGAUACAGAAGAAAGUCUUGGGAGGUAGUUUGAUAGCGGAAUUUUGGAGUUCUCGAGAAGAAAAUGUGUGGGAGAGAGAAGCAAGAGGCACAAAUAAGAUGAAUGAGGCAGGGAGGAUUAGGUUCCGGGCGGACAGCGACUCGGAAACUCGAAUGGGUUCUGCUCGUGCCUGAUUUGGAUGCUCGACAGCGCAGAGACGGGUGAGGUUCUGGCAGUAGAGACGUGGGAUUUGCAGGAUGUGAAUGUGGGGAUGUAUGGGAAGGUGAAUUUGAGAGUGAACACGUGGCAUAACGUGCUGUUGACGAUGCAGAGGAAGACUUAGGCUCUGGUGACGGAGCGAAAGCAGGGGAUAUGGGGAAUAAUGAGUGAUGAGUAAUGAGAUUCUCGCGGCAACCAUUGAAGCAGCUCUGUGAAGAACUGCCUUGUGGACUUCCUCGUUGCCGGAGACCAUAAACGAAGCUCACUGUUCUGCACUCGCAUGGGAACACAGCUGAUCUGGGUCAGAUGUACGAGUUGUCCAGUGAGUUAAGUCUCCACCUCCGAGUCAACUUGGUAGAGUAUGAUUAUUCGAGUUACGGACAGUCUUUGCUACCGGCCUUCGUGGCCCAUCAUCUCAAGAUGGGGGAAAGCAAAAGCAAAACGGAAAACAAAAGGUCCCAGCAGCAACCAGGCAGUGGGAAAAGAAACAAAAGCAGAAAAGAGAAAGUAAAAACAAAAGAAAGCAGAAGGGAAAAGCCGAAAAGAAGAUGAUCCACUAUUCCACUACUCCAUUAUCCCACGAGAUAACAUAUUAAAGAUAAGAAGAUGCCCACCAAGGUUUUUAGUCUCCACUUUCUGUUAGACCAGAAGAUGCCCAUCAACAUGCUGAAACAUGUAAUUUAUUUUUCUUAUCUUUCGGAGACAUUUGUAUAAACCCCAUUAGAGGGUAAUAAUAAUAAAAAAUUAAAAAUAAAAUUAAAAAAAAAAGGCAAGCCCAAAAUAAUAGGCUGGCGAAAGCCCAUAUGCCCAAAAGAGCUAGGCCCUCUAUUAUCACCAACCAAGUGGUCAAAAGUACGUCCAGUACUACAAAAAAUUAUUCGGCACCCUGCCGCUAUUACCACCAACUAGGUGAUCAAAAGUACGCCCAGUACUACAAAAAAUUAUUCGGCAGCCCGCUGCUAUUACCACCAACCAGGUGUUCAAAAGUACGCCUAGUACUCCAAAAUUAUUCGGCAGCCUGUCGCUAUUAUCACCAACCAGGUGAUCAAAAGUACGUCCAGUACUCCAAAAAUUAUACAUGAGCAUCACUCAUGUCAAUCAUACAUAAACAUUCAUGACCAUCAUUCAUGUCAGCAUUCAUGAGCAUCACUUAUGUCAACAUCCAUGAGCAUCACUCAUGUCAAUCAGCUUCAAAAGCUUCAUUUACAGAGCUCUAGCUUCAAAAGCUUCAUUUACAAAAGCUCCAGCUUCAAAAGCUUCAUUUACAGAGCUUUAGCUUCAAAAGCUUCAUUUACAGAGCUCUAGCUUCAAAGCUUCAAAUUGCAAAGCUUCACCUACAAAGCUUCAGUGCAUAGUCUACAAAGACCGCCUCCGAAUAACCGCCAUUUCGGCCCACACAUGGAUUGAAUUUGAAGUCUCCAGCCAACAGCCUCUAUUGACCGAAGACUUGGGGGACUACAUUAGGUACCAUAUAUUGGGCCUCAAUUGGGCCUUAUGAAAAAUACUUGAGGGACUUAGCCCAUUAUUUAUGUACUAAGGAGUGAGCCCUUAUUCUAUAAAAGGGACUCCCUCACCAUCAUUAGAGAGCAUGAACUCUAGCCCAUUAUUCAUGUAUUGAGAAACGAGCCCUUAUUCUAUAAAAGGGACUCCCUCACCAUCAUUAGAGAACAUCAACUCUAGCCCAUUAUUCAUGUAUUGAGGAGCGAACCCUUAUUCUAUAAAAGGGACUCCCUCACCUUCAAACGCCACAAGCCAAGCCAACCAAGGCAACAUAAGCCACAAACCGAGCAGCCUCGCAACAUGUGCUACUUCUAGUUAAGCAUCAUUUCACUUUGAGCACCGCCUCAUAUCGAGUAUCAGUUCAAGACGACAUCUAGGUACUUCGGCCCACACAUGGACUGAAUUUCAAGUCUCCAGCCAAAAGACUCUCUUGACUGAAGAGUUGGGGGACUACUGUUUGUACAAUACUUAAGGCCUCUGUAUUUAGACCUCGUAUAAAUACUCAGGGGACUUAAAUGUAAUUAUGUAAUAAAAGAAGGGGAAAAUAUGUAAUAAAUGAGGAGCCCUUAUUCUAUAAAAUGACCCCUCACUCUCCUCAUUGAGGGAGCCCAAUUCUUAGGCCAUACCCUCACCCUCUCAGAGCUCUCAUCCUCACAGAAAAGCUCUUUCUCUCUCCCUCCUCAACAUCUCAGAGAAAUACAAUAAUCAGUGUGGACGUAGCCCAAACAUUGGGGUGAACCACGAUACAUCUUGUGUUAUUUACUUUCUUGCAGAUUCACGGUCAGAUUUACGUUGUUCCAAGACCCAUCCAUUUUUGUGCAUCAACAAGGUAAGUUCAAGUAGGUAUACGGUAUUAGUUGAACUGAUGGGGUUAUGGUAUGACUACCUUUAUGUUUUAAGUAACUCCGACACGGUCGUACAGGUUGCAAUAGUAGGCAACUCCGACAUUGUUGUACAGGUUGCUUAUGAGUCGUACAUGUGGUAUUAAAUGCAUUUAAAGCUCGUAAACUUGCACCCCGAUGUCAGUGCUCUCGCCCGUGGCCAGGGCAUAGUCCUUCACGUAAUGUUCACCUCUCGCACCAUACGCUUACCUUGAAUUCAAGGUAGGCGAACAUGCCUGUCGUACAGACCGCUAUAGGUGGUUCCGACUCGUAGGUGACUCUUCACGUGAUCGUAGCACUUGAGCGUAUUCAUUUACACCCAGUCCUGUCAUACAGACCACUUCAGUGGUUCUGACUCGUAUGCAGGCGUAGUGCCAUAUAGGUCACUAGAGGUGACUCAAGGUAGAAUGAGCUAUGACCUAUAAACUUAGCUGUACAGGCCACAAGAGGUGGAUUCGGCUGACAUAUCAUUUGCAUAUGCGAUGAGAUACGAAUAUGUCGUACAGGUCACUAUAGGUGACUCCAACUUAUAUGCUAGCAAUGAUUAAUGAGAUAUAUGAGGAGAUAUGGAUAAGUCGUAUAGGUUACUAGAGGUGAUUCUGACUUGUAAGCUAGCAUAUGUAAUGAAUAUGUGAUGAGCUAGCAUAUGUGAUGAGCUAACAUAUGUGAUGAAAUAUGUGAUGAACUAGUAUAUGUAAUGAGAUAUAGGUAAGUACAGGUCACCGCCGACUUGUGUACUAGUAUGAGUUAUUAAUCACAUAAUUAUUCGAUAUUGCUGACGAGAUACUGUGUUGUGAUAUAUUUAUGAUUUUUCUGGAAAUUAUACAAGUGUCAUGGCGAGGGGUUAGGAUGUUUUAUAUGGUUUCUAUUAAAAUUUUAUUACAGGGCCACUUACCCUUGUCUUGUCUUCACCCUCCAGGGUUUAUUAGCUGAGCUUUCUUAUCUUCGAAGAUUCGUGGCGAUUCUAAGUAUUGGAGAUUAUUUCGAAGGUAUGAUGCGAUGAAAGUUAAGCACUCAAAUUAAACCCUCUUUUGACAAUUGUAGUAUAUGUAUAAGUAGGGAUCGUUCUGGACCGGGGAUUAGGAGGGAUUGCUAAUCUAAACUAAACUGACUUACAAAAAGAAACUUAAAAACACUUAACUAGACUCUAUAGACUCAAAACACUUCAAAACACAAACUAAAACAGAUUCUAACUAAUUAGACACACUAAAGUAAAGGGGGAUUGGGUUUUGGACGAAAGUAAAGUAAAACAAAACAGAAACUAGAACUAAACAGAUUUGCACGAAAUUGGUUGUUUUGGAUGGAUGAUGGGCUAGCUAGAAGGUCUUUCUCCACACAUGACACACUUGCAUACAAAUCAAUCUCCAAUUACUUUUCAAUAAACUAUGAUGCUAAACACCCCAGAUUAACCGUGAUGCACAAAUUAACCCUCAGAUUUUCCUUUACUCAUUGAAUUGGAUGAAUGCAUGCGACAACCCAAAUCAUUCUCUAAAAGUCCCCUAUAUGAAUGCAUAAUAGAGAUACAAUUAAAGAUCAUUAAGUUCCAUGAAAAUCAUAAGCGUUGACGAGGCAAUUGUAACUAUGAAUGCAUGAUACGUUUGCCAAGAAUUCAAUUAACGCGAUUGUGACAAGCAACCUUCACUACUCAUGAAUAUAAACUUGUAACGAUUAGGUGAAACUUAUUUAUAUCCUAGCAUCAAAUUCAUGCAUGAAAACUAAGUAUGCAACCUUAACAAACAUACACAAAUCCGUUAUGAAUAAAAUAGAUAAUUGAAUUGCAAUCACAACUUGUCAAAUCACAAUUGGAAGAAAUCAAUUCAUAUUGCAAAUAUAUUCAUGGUUUCGAAUUCUCCUCUAGCCAAAAGAGGUUUAGUUCCUCAUACUUGCAAUUAAACAGAAACAAUUGAAAUUAAACAUUGAAAACCAAAGUAGAAUACACCUAGAAUGCUCCAGCAAUCCAAAUUGAAUGACUAGCACAACUCCAAGCAAUCCUCAUUCCUUGCAAAUAUGCGGCACCAAGGUGUGAGUGGUGAAUGGAUGGUCUCUUGUGGUGGUGGAUGGAUAUAGGUGAGUUAUGGUGAAGGGUGGAGAGUUGUGUAGAUGAUUUGGUGUCUUUGGAUGAUGGCCCCCAAAUUAUGGUGAAGGGUGGAUGUAUUUGUAAGAUAGGGAGAGGAGUGUAUGGAGUUGUAAUGAGUGGAUGUAAUGGGUGUAGUGGGUGAGUGUUGUGGUAAUGAGUGGAUGUAAUGGGUGUAGUGGGUGGAUGUUUGGUAAUGAGUGGAUGUAAUGGGUGUAGUGGAUGAGUGUUUGGUAAUGAGUGGAUGUAAUGGGUGUAGUGGAUGAGUGUUUGGUAAUGAGUGGAUGUAAUAGGUGUAGUGGGUGACUGCUGUUGGGUGGUUGAAAUGAGUGGAUGUAGUGGUAGGUGAAUGUGUUGGGUGGAAUGAGUGGAUGUAGUGGUAGGUGAAUGGAUGUGUUGGGUGAAAUGAGUGGAUGUGGUGGUAGGUGAAUGUGUUGGGUGGAAUGAGUGGAUGUGGUGGUAGGUGAAUGGAUGUGUUGGGUGAAAUGAGUGUGCUAAAAUGGUUAUUUAUAAGGAGAGUAUGAUGCACAAACUUCAAAUUUCGUCCAUUCCUUUUGCUCCAAGCAUAUGCUAUCCAUUCCAUGCCCAAAAAUGCUCCAAAAUGCACUUCUUUGCCACAUUAACCCUUUGGACCUACAAACACACGAAAAUAGCUUAAAAUACUAAAAUAACUACGAACUAACAACAUAAAUGCCAAGAAACAAGCUAACUAAGUCGCAUAAAUAUGCUCCUAUCAAAUUCCCCCACACUUAGCUUUUGCUAGUCCUCGAGCAAAAUAAAACAAACAAAACAAAACAAAACAAAACACAACCUAGACCUUCCAACAAUUGCCUCAGGGAUUUUUAAUGAAACAUGACAUGUUAAAAUCAUCAUUCACAGAUUUUGGUCAUCCUUACACUUGAGCACAUACUUAUAGUCACCACUUACUAGUUCACAAUUAACCAAUUAAAAUGAUGUUUUGAAUGUAGUAACAUGCCUUAGAGAAUUUAUUCAAUUCCUUACAAGAUACUCUCUAUUUUCACACACAUUUUCUGACUACACACCCUACAUUAGUUAUAUGUGAGAAGAUUGAUGUAAACAUGAAAACGAAAACUCACAUAUAAGUAUAACAAAGAGGGCAAUUUUCUGGAGUUAUUCAGCAUGUUUAGAUAUGAUCUCAUGAAUGGAAUGCUACUACUUAGAUGCGAGAAUCAGUGACACCACAUGCUCAUACCAAUUCCAAACUCCACAUAUUGAAACACAUAACACUCAAGAUGAAGUUAAGGGUUGUAAUGGGACUUGGGGGUAAUGGCUAACAAAGAAAGGAUAGGGAUAACAAACGUUCUUAAGCGAUAGCAAGCAAAGUAAUGGAAUCGACACUUGGAAUUUACUUUAUAAUGCAAAAAUCAACUUUUAAACACAAAGGGAAGAUUCAUGCAACACUUAGGGUCGAAUUCAAUGCUUUGGACCCUUUCUUCAAUAAACAACACUUUAGAACUCUUUCUCAUAUAUUUUUCAACUCUUUUCACAACUUUUCUUCUUUUCAUUCUAUUUUCCACGAAUUUUUCUUUUUCUUUUUCUUUUCUACCCGUGCCUUAUGAAGGACUUUGGCACACACACACACAAGAAUCACUUCCCCCACACUUGUUUUUAUGCAGAGUUCAACAAAAGGAAUUCCUUCUAAAUUAUGCUUUACUUUGCUUCAAGAACAAGGGUAUGGAUGGUCCUAAUCUAGGCUAAAUGAGGAUAGUGUGGGUAACAAAGAACAGAGGCUACACAAGGCUCAACGAGAUUAAACUUAAACACAUAAUGAACGGGAUAGGCUUUUUGGCUCUUGGCUCACUAAACAACUUCAUCUUGAAUAUGUGUUAUGCAAAUCAAUAACAUGCUUUGAAAGAAAUAGGCAUGAGUUCUAGCAUUUGGAACUAAAUGAUGAAACGCCUUCUAAGUAGCAACCAAGCAAAGAAUAAUGAGAUCAUGCAACGACUUUAGAAAACAAUGAUGCACAGAUUAUUAACUCUCCAAAUAAACGUUUAGGCUCAAGUCUCACAAGGUUGUAGCGUACAUUUGAGUUCCUUCUUUCAAGGAUGUUACAAAGCUGAUUUCCUUUAUGAUUGCAUGUGAAUUCAUAAAUUAUAACCACAACCAAGCAUACACCAAAGAGUAAAUCAAAUUUUCAUCCAUGUUUAUAACUCUCUUUAACAGUCUUGUAAUUAAAAACCAAAUCCUGAUCAUUGUGUUGGAAGGUACCUUAAGACACAAAUAAACAUACAAAAACAACUCUUUUGGGUUUUUCAAAACAAUUUUUCAAAUUUUUAUGAGAUUUUCGGAUUUUUAUGUCAAAACACACUGAAACACUCCAAAACAGCUUAAAAAAACUUAAAACAGCAAGGAACAACACUAGAAGUAAUGGGUGAUAAACUCCUACGAAUUUCAAGCAAAACAACUCCAAAACAGCUUAAAAACACUUAAAACAGCAAGGAACAACACUAAAAGUAAUGGGUGAUAAACACCUACGAAUUUCAUGCAAAACAAUGGUUACCCCCCCCCCCACACUUAAAUCAAACAUUGUUCUCAAUGUUUCAAGCAUAAACUCACACAAAAACAAGCAAAUAAACAAACAACAAAUAAACAUGACAAGUAUAGCAAAGUAAAAAAAAACAGACAGAGUAGAGUUUAAGAACGCAAAUCUGGUUUUGGAGAUAGAUGAUCUUGUUGACUUUCCACAGCUUUGAUCUCGAACUGGUUUGGAAUUCUGAGCGAGGAAUAUCAGAGUUCCUUGGUUUCAAAUCAGACUCCUUCUGCUGGGUUGAUUUGAUUGUGCAUUCUGCAUUCUUCUUUGCUUGUUUCUUUUGCACGGCAGGCAGGCACGAGGUAGAGGUGUUGAUCUGUUUCUUUCUUCAAUCUUUCCAAGUGCCCACCUCUUGCUUUCUUUCACCUUGUCCCUAGCUGAGGAUGAAUUGGCAAAUUGUCUCCACAUGCUUUGAGGUAUCAUUUUCACUUCCCUUAUCUGUUCCCCAGGCAGAUGUGGUAGACGAAGAGGAAGCAUAAAAUAAUAAAGAUGAGUACUCGAGAGCAAGGCUAGGUAAGCAAUCAGGAAGGGGUUCCAGGCAGUCGAUUCCAGAUCGGAAGAUUGAUACCAAGUGCUGGUUGAUUGCUCUCUUUCUCCUUGUCCCAAAACAACGACAAGGAGAAGGACAUGGAGAAAGCAUGAUAUGAGAUACUCUUGCUUUCAACCUUCAUGAUAUGAAAUACUUUUGCUUUGGAUGAGUUGUUUGCAGAGGUACCCCAAGGAAUAAGAAACAUUGAGUGACUCGAGAGGGUUUGUUGGAAAGGCAUUCUCGGAGAAGAAGAAGGGUUAUGUAUGUCUGCCUUGCAAUGAAGGGUGAGGGGUGACAUUUAUAGGAAUUAAUAACCGAUACUAUUCUUUUAUUCUUGUCAGCAACCGUUGGAUGAUUUAAUAGUAAACUUCACGUGAUUUCUACUUCACAAGGGAUCUUCGAUAGAUUGCCCGUAAUUUCCGCAAGGCUGAGUGUGCAUGUGACAGGCGCUGACACGUCUGGAAAAACAAGUGCUUAUUCGAUAUCUGGAAUCGGCGCUUCGACAAACUACCCGUGAUUUCUGCAAAGCUGACUCUGCAUGUGACAGAUGCUAACACGUCUGGAAAAGCGCUUCGACAAACUGCCCGUGAUUUCCGCAAAGCUAACUCUGCAUGUGACAGAUGCUGACACCUCUGGAAAAGCAAAUGCCUUUCCGAUAUCUGGAAUCGGCGCUUCGACAAACUGCCCGUGAUUUCCGCAAAGCUAAUUCUGCAUGUGACAGAUGCUGACACGUCUGGAAAAGCAGAUGCCUCUCCGAUUUCUGAGCUUGCCUCUUCGAUCUCUGAAAUCCUGUCGAGUACAGAAGUUGCAUGUGACAAGUGCGGACAAAUCUGGAAAAGAAGAUUGGUCGUGGUUUCUGAGCAAGCCCAGCUUUUUAGAAAGCUAGCGCCUCUUUGAUUUUUGAGUUGGCCUCUUCGAUUUUUGAGCUCGCCUCUUCGAUCUCUGAAAUCCCAUCGAGUGCUGAUUUUUAUAGAGGUACGCAGGACGUUCAAAACACACUUGAAUUUCUGCCUGUAAAAACUCCAUUCUUGCACUUCUACGAUCUUGACUUGUCCGACCUCUUCUUUCUUUAACACCUCUGAAAAUGUCUGGCCCCUCUGACCGUCGUUUUGACUUGAACCUUGGUGAAGAGGCAGUCCCGCCUUCUCCAGACAACUUAUGGCGCCCAUCCUUCAUAUCCCCUACUGGUCCCCUUACCGUUGGGGAUUCGGUGAUGAAGAAUGAUAUGACAGCUGCGGUGGUGGCCAGGAACCUUGUCACUCCCAAAGAUAACAGACUACUUGCCAAACGGUCUGAUGAGUUGGCUGUUAAGGAUUCUCUGGCUCUCAGUGUGCAGUGCGCAGGUUCCGUGUCUAAUAUGGCCCAACGCCUAUUUGCCCGAACCCGUCAAGUUGAAUCAUCGGCGGCUGAAGUGAUGAGUCUUAAGAAGGAGAUUAGAGGGCUUAAGCAUGAGAAUAAACAGUUGCACAGGCUCGCACAUAAUUAUGCUACAAACAUAAAGAGGAAGAUUGACCAGAUGCAGGAAUCUGAUGGUCAGAUUUUACUUGAUCAUCAGAGGUUUGUGGGUUUGUUCCAACAGCAUUUUCCUCCGUCUUCUGGGGCUGUACCUCGUAAUGAAGCUCCAAAUGAUCAACCUCCGAUGCCUCCUCCUUCUGGGGCUCCGCCGACUACUGAGACUUCUCCUAACCAGCCUUUAUGAAGGCUCCCUCUUAUGUUUAUCUGCUUAAUGUUCCUUUCCUUUUUUAUGAAUGUAAAAAUACCUUGCAUAACUGUCAGUGUUUCAAAAAUAAACCCACACCAAAAACAAUUAAACAAGCAACAGAUAAAAAUGACAAUCAUGGCAAAAUAAAACUACAGAAAAGGGAAGGUUUUUAGAAACGCAAAACUGAUUGUGGAGCAAUUCAAAAAUCUUCCUUAUUUGAAUACAUGGGUUGCCUCCCAAGAAGCGCUUGCUUUAACGUCUUCCAGCCGGACGAUACUUCCUUCUAAACUUGGAUAGGGCCCAUAGCAUGGAAUUGAUCCUUGAAUUGACGAUGAUACUUGAUGUGAUCCGGCAAUGGUUUAAAUUCUAGUGUAGGUGCCUGAAUCAUCAAAAUCAGCAAGUUAGCAUAUACUAAAAUCGAAGUUGGAGAAGAUGGCUAACUUCCUUGCUCGAUCACAAACUCAAUUACGAACACCACAUCUUUGAAGGUUGCAGGGAUAUGGGACUUGGCCAGAUUUGGUGUUUUGAGAGUUAUGACUUUUCCCGUGUCAUAAAAUCUAACUUCUUUGGGAGUUUUCGUCUCAAGGGUAUCUUCUUUGAUGAAUUGUAGACAUUCCCCAUCCACUUCUUGCUCUUGAUUCUUUGGAAAGGUUCCGAAGAUGCCUUUCUCACCUUCUUCUUCCUUGGAUUGCAAGGUCAGGACGAAUUGAAUUUAGGCUUACUUUGGUUGUAAUGGACGGCAUAAAGGGCAUAUGGGGCUGCGGCAAGGGUGGUUCUUUCCUUGCCAUGGCCUUGUUACUCUCUUCUUCUUCGAGCAUCAGCUGUUCAUCCAUGUUUUGGCUUGGUUUGGACGUUUUGGGUUCACCUCCAACCUCCAUAGCACUUCCCAAAGUGAUAGCAUCAUGAAUUUCAAAAUCUUCCUUCAAAUUUUCAACAGUUGAGUUGGAGAUUUCACUUUGCUCUUGAAUUUGUGCCGUGAACUCCAUAAUCUGCCCAAAUUGCUUUUCCAAUUCGCCCGUCUUCUUGGCUUGAAUUUGCACCUCUUUGUUUCGGUUUUCUACAUCCUGGUUCAAAGAGGUGAGUAACUUAUUAAACAUAUCAUUAUCUAAAGAUGUACUUGAAUUGAAUUGGGCAAAUUGUUGUGGUGGCUGUGAUGGUUCAUAUGGCCAGUGAUAGAACUCCUCUUCUUGCUGCCAAUAUCCAUCUAGUUGGAAUUGUUGCGGUUCUCCACACAUGUAAUCUGAAUAAUCUCUCCAAUCCGAAUUUUAAGCGUUGGAAAACAUGUUGUCCCAUGAUUGGCUAUGGCUUUGAUAGCCCCAAGCAUCUUCAUUCGCAGUGAAUUGAGAACAUUGAUGAGUUGGAUAUCCUUGCCCAUAGGACACACCACAUGUAGGGACACUUUGCAUUGUGGUCCUUUCGGCAUAUUGUGACAAUUGAGAAGUAAGUUUUGCCAAUUGAGCUUGAAUGGUAGCAAAAUCCAUGUCUUACUUCUCUAGUCCCUAAAAUCAAGGAAACAAAACUAAAUCAAAUAUCACAAGUAAAAAUAAAAGACACAAACAGAAACAAAGUCAGUAACUAAAACAAAAGACAUGAAAAAGAAACAACGGGGGAUUAGCAAAGUUGCUAAUCCCCGGCAACGGCGCCAAAAUUUGAUGCGAUGAAAGUUAAGCACUCAAAUUAAACCCUCUUUUGACAAUUGUAGUAUAUGUAUAAGUAGGGAUCGUUCUGGACCGGGGAUUAGGAGGGAUUGCUAAUCUAAACUAAACUGACUUACAAAAAGAAACUUAAAAACACUUAACUAGACUCUAUAGACUUAAAACACUUCAAAACACAAACUAAAAUAGAUUAUAACUAAUUAGACACACUAAAGUAAAGGGGGAUUGGGUUUUGGACGAAAAUAAAGUAAAACAAAACAGAAACUAGAACUAAACAGAUUUGCACGAAAUUGGUUGUUUUGGAUGGAUGAUGGGCUAGCUAGAAGGUCUUUCUCCACACAUGACACACUUGCAUACAAAUCAAUCUCCAACUGCUUUUCAAUAAACUAUGAUGCUUAACACCCCAGAUUAACCGUGAUGCACAAAUUAACCCUCAGAUUUUCCUUUACUCAUUGAAUUGGAUGAAUGCAUGUGACAACCCAAAUCAUUCUCUAAAAGUCCCCUAUAUGAAUGCAUAAUAGAGAUACAAUUAAAGAUCAUUAAGUUCCAUGAAAAUCAUAAGCGUUGAUGAGGCAAUUGUAACUAUGAAUGCAUGAUACGUUUGCCAAGAAUUCAAUUAACGCGAUUGUGACAAGCAACCUUCACUACUCAUGAAUAUAAACUUGUAACGAUUAGGUGAAACUUAUUUAUAUCCUAGCAUCAAAUUCAUGCAUGAAAACUAAGUAUGCAUCCUUAAUAAACAUACACAAAUCCGUUAUGAAUAAAAUAGAUAAUUGAAUUGCAAUCCCAACUUAUCAAAUCACAAUUGGAAGAAAUCAAUUCAUAUUGCAAAUAUAUUCAUGGUUUCGAAUUCUCCUCUAGCCAAAAGAGGUUUAGUUCCUCAUACUUGUAAUUAAACAGAAACAAUUGAAAUUAAACAUUGAAAACCAAAGUAGAAUACACCUAGAAUGCUCCAGCAAUCCAAAUUGAAUGACUAGCACAACUCCAAGCAAUCCUCCUUCCUUGCAAAUAUGCGGCACCAAGGUGUAAGUGGUGAAUGGAUGGUCUCUUGUGGUGGUGGAUGGAUAUAGGUGAGUUAUGGUGAAGGGUGGAGAGUUGUGUAGAUGAUGUGGUGUCUUUGGAUGAUGGCCCCCAAAUUAUGGUGAAGGGUGGAUGUAUUUGUAGGCUAGGGAGAGGAGUGUAUGGAGUUGUAAUGAGUGGAUGUAAUGGGUGUAGUGGGUGAGUGUUGUGGUAAUGAGUUGAUGUAAUGGGUGUAGUGGGUGGAUGUUUGGUAAUGAGUGGAUGUAAUGGGUGUAGUGGAUGAGUGUUUGGUAAUAAGUGGAUGUAAUGGGUGUAGUGGGUGGAUGUUUGGUAAUGAGUGGAUGUAAUGGGUGUAGUGGAUGAGUUUUGGUAAGAGUGGAUGUAAUGGGUGUAGUGGAUGAGUGUUUGGUAAUGAGUGGAUGUAAUAAGGUGUAGUGGGUGAGUGUUUGUUUGGGUAAUGGUUGAAAUGAGUGGAUGUAGUGGUAGGUGAAUGUGUUGGGUGGAAUGAGUGGAUGUAGUGGUAGGUGAAUGGAUGUGUUGGGUGAAAUGAGUGGAUGUGGUGGUAGGUGAAUGUGUUGGGUGGAAUGAGUGGAUGUGGUGGUAGGUGAAUGGAUGUGUUGGGUGAAAUGAGUGUGCUAAAAUGGUUAUUUAUAAGGAGAGUAUGAUGCACAAACUUCAAAUUUCAUCCAUUCCUUUUGCUCCAAGCAUAUGCUAUCCAUUCCAUGCCCAAAAAUGCUCCAAAAUGCACUUCUUUGCCACAUUAACCCUUUGGACCUACAAACACAGGAAAAUAGCUUAAAAUACUAAAAUAACUACGGACUAACAACAUAAAUGCCAAGAAACAAGCUAACUAAGUCGCAUAAAUAUGCUCCUAUCAAGGUACGAUUCUUAAUUCACUCUUCUGUACUUACUUAUGCUUUAACGUCACGUGUGAAGUGGGUUCAUACCCGUUCACCAGUGCAUUCUGGUAAUUAGGCACUUUUAGGUUUAAAUUUAUUCACAAUUUUCCCACAUCAACACAUUUCAUGGCUUCGUCACCUUCCAGGUGUCGGCCAGCACAGCUCGAUUCAGAAUCCUAGUGGACAUUUCGGGUCGGGGUGUGUCAUCUACACUAAGGGGGUGGGGGAGUGGCUAAGCCUCACAAUGGGCCUGCAAUAAUGUGGUUCAAAUUUGCCUUUGGUGAGAAUCGAACCUAAGACCUCUCACUUACAAGUGAAGAGGAAUACCACUAAACCGUAAUCACGGUUCUAAAAGACGCUAGGCGCUAGUCAAGCGGCGGGCUAAGGCCUAGCGCCUAGGCAGCUAGGCGGGCUCGGACUAGGUGGAUUUAAGUGAAUCUAUUAUAUUUCGUGUAAAUAAGUGACUGUUUAUACUUAAAAAUUAAAUAAGUGCUUAUGUACUUAAAAAGGUAAAACUAAAAAAUUAUUUUGAAUAAAUAAUUAUAAAUAUGGAUAUAUGUGUAAAGUUUAAGGGCUUUAUAUGUUAGUUUCAUAAUGUUUUUCAAACUCAUUCAACAAGUGGGAUGUUAGGUGGCACGUUGGUAUUUGGAAACAAUUAAAAAUAGGUUUGUAACGUGGGAUUGGCAUAGGAAGCUUUCCUCUGCAUCGUCUUCUUCCUCGGAAAAAAGCUGGGUUCCUCAUUCUCCAUAUUAAAAACAGAGGCCCUGCGUCUUUCCUUUCUCAACCAUGCUCAGACCUACUAAGCCUCCAGUGCCUGCCUAGGCGCCCUAGUCACCGCCUAGCACCCUUAGGCACCUGCCCAAGCUCUUCAGGUGCCCGCCUAUCAUCUUAUUCGAUUUUCCUCCCGAUUUGGAACGAAUCGGAGCUAAUGACCACCGUGUAGCGCCUAGGCGGCCGAUUUUUAGAACAUUGACCAAAGUACUAAGUGGCAUUGUUGGUCUUUAUAUUGAUUAUUAUAUAAUUUUAUAUAAACAAAAAUAUAAACAAAUGAUUUUAUAGUACUAAUUUUAGCUAGCCCACCCAAGAAAAAAAUCCUAGCUCCGCACUUGCUCAAGUUGUUUCUUUGCCAUUGGUUUCAUAUUUAAGAAUGAUCCAUGUUUGCUUUAAUUAAUACCAGCCUCUCUGCACGCUAGUCAUGCGUGCCAGAGGCAUUUUUGCAUCACGGGGGCUACGCGCCCCUAAAGGUGUAUUAUGUUAUUUUUAUUCCAUUGUAAUUGUCAAGAUAUAUUUUAAAUGUAUUGUGCAAAGAUGAACUUUUUCUUUACCAUGCACGUCCUAAAAAGUUGUCAUGUUUUUCGUUUUCACUUUGCAUAAAGUAAUGAUUUAAAUGUUAUUCAUGCAAUUGUCAAAAUAUAAAAGAGUAGAUAAAGUCCAUGAACAAUAGUAAGUAGAUGUAAAUAAAAAAAGAGUAGAUAAAAACAUUAAGUACUCAUAGCAAAAUACAAAACAACUUAAAUGUCAAAAUAUAAAACCUACAUCACAAUAUGUACAGUAUUCACAAUACCCAUAAAGUCUAUAUUGCACUAUUCUUUUGAAAAGAAAGUUUACAUAUUGACAUCAAUGCUACAAUUUCCACCCAUUUGUUCCUGAUUGAUUCUUCAAAUUUUCAUUGCCAAUCUACAAACGAUAGUGAGAAAAUUAAAAACCAAAUAAAAAGAGUUAAUUGAUAAGUGAGAAAUGCAUACUGAAAGGUUAUCGUUAAUAAAGUUGUUACCUAUUAGGAAUCACCAUAAUUAGCUGGAAUGAAGCAAGACUUCUUUGUAUACUAUAAUUAGCUAGAAAAAGAUCCGCAUGUGAGAGGCAUUUUCUUUAAUCACGGGCGCUACGCUCCUCUUAAGAUGUGUUGCGUUAGUUGUUUUCUUUCUCAUACCGCAUCAUAAAAAUAAAAUAGAACAUACACUUAUAAAUAAAAAGGAAAUAGAGCAUAACUAAGCUGUGUGUAAAAUGCGUAAUAAACAAAAAGUUCUUUGCAUGCAAAAGCACGUUUGAAGAUGUUAACGAAGAAUAAAGGAAGAAAUACAGCAAGGAACCAAAUAAUAGUGUUUGAUACAAAACUAAACAAUUAAUUCAUGACAAUAAGCUGAGCAAGAAUUUAUAUGUAUCAUCUUGUCCUUAAAAUACCACAAAAUACCACAAAAUACAGCUCACUUAAAUCUCAUCUCUUUGAACACUUUAUCUUAUUAAAAGCUGCUAAUUAAAUAUGAGUUGAUAGGGUUUGUGGCUUCAUAAUAUAAUUUCUACUAUUUUUCUUGACAUAUGUGUUAAACUUUCCCAUUAAUUCCACCUGCAAGCUCUUCCGUAAUUUCAAUGCUCCCACAACUUUUAGUACUUUUACCAUGGCUGCAAACGGAUCAUUGAAAUGAGAAUAUGAGUUGAAGUGUAAAUUGCAUAAAGUAGUAAUUAAAAUGUACAUAUGUAGACAAAAAGUUAGAAAUGAAAUAGUCGUAUCAAAUUAGAUUGAAUCCAAAAGCUCAAUCAAGAUAAUAUCAAAUGUAAAAUUCCUUAUUGUGAUUUCGUUGCCAUGUUGAGCUGUAUAAAUUUCUUAUUGUUACCAAAAUCUAAAACAAAUCAACCCAUGUUCGUAGAACGUGGUACAUAAUAACUCAUUUAUUGCAUAAUAAGGAUCCCUUGUUCAUUGGCAGAAAAUAUUAAAUAGAAAACGUAGUUAAUCCUUCUUUUGCAUAAUCUUUGAUAUGAGCUCUCAAUUUGGAUUAGAGAGGAAAGCAUGCAAUUCUAUAAAGUGCUCUCAAACAUUAACAACCAAUCUGGUAUGAAUUUCGAAAAUCUCAUGUAACAAACUUUAUAGGGUAAAUUACAUAGUAGCCCCUCAGGUUUAAGGUUUCUUACAACCCCAUACAACAUCUUUAAAACAUUUUACUUUCAUACCUCAUGUACUAUUUUAUUUCAAAAUAAUACCUCCGUUACAUUUUCCAUCCAUUAAUCCGUUAAGUGCUUACGUGGCUACCACUUUGUGCCACGUGGCAAAAUAAUUUUUUUUAAUUUUAAAUUUUUUUUUUAAAAAAAACCUAAAUCUUCUUUUAAAAAAAAUAAAAACCAACAGCUGAGAGAAAUCACCCACCCCCGUGAACCCCCCAAACCAGAAGCCCAGAAAGAAAAUCCAUCUCCCCCUGGGCGAUCCACUUCACCCAGAAAAACCAACCCCCUCCCUCGCAAAACCCCCAGGACGCUCCCUCACCCGCAAAACCCCUUCCUGUGACCCACCUCACCCAGAAACCCACAUCCCUUCCUUUGUACCCACCCUUUUCCCUCCUCUAUACACCCCCACUCCUUAAAUCCACACCCAUUCCUCCCACCUCACGAAACCAGUGAUGACGGGAUAUGGGUUUUUUUUUUUGGGUGAUAGGAGCAUAUUUAUACGCCGUAGUUAGCUAGUUCUUAUGCAUUUUCGUUAUGUUUUCUUAGUUUAAGUAGUCUUUUAAGCUAGUUUUAUGUGUUUUCAGGUUUUAAGGGCAAAGCAUAUAAAAAGAUGUAUUUUGGAGCCUUUUGGAGCAAAAUGGAGCUUGGAAUGAAUGUCACAUAUUUGGAGCCAAAGGUUUGGACGAAUUUGAAGACUUGAAGAUGAUGAUUCCUACUUGAACAAGGUUUCCUAGUUGAAGUAGGAAAGUGCUUACAUGAAGAAGGAUUCCUAAUCGACGAAGGAUUCCUAGUUGAAGAUGGAUUCAUAGAAGAAUGAAGAUUCCUACUCAAACAAGGUUUCCUGCUUGAAGUAGGAAAGUUAAACCUAAUUGGCCUUGAGUUUCAACAACAAAUAAGUUUUCCAAGUCAAAGAAGGAAAAGGAAUCCAAAAAGAAGAAGGAUUGAUCAAGACAAGCUUUCCUAUUCCUAAUGUGCAAAGGUUUUAGCUACAAAGAGGAGUCCUAAACACUUUAGGACACCUUAGCCUUAUCCUAGAGGAGUGCCUCACCAAUUUCAGCAAAGAGAUCUAUUUUCCUUACCUUAGCCUUAUCCUAGAGGAGUGCCGCACCAAUUUCAGCAAGGAGAUCUAUUUUCCUUGCCUUGCAAGGCUUUCUAGAAGCCUUAUCCAUUGUUUCCCUUUGCUGCCGCAACUAUUGGACCUUUUCCCCUUUUAAUUCUGAUUUCUAAGCCUUUUUCCUUGUGGAUUUGGGUUAUCCAAGUCCAUAUCUGAUUACCCUAGGGUUUUAAGUGCUUAUAUAUACUCUCAUUCACUCCUUGGCUGAAUUACGACCUCCCAUAUACAUCAUUCACGCCAGAAACAUACACCCACUCUUUGCCGCAGCCUUCCACCACCAUUCUCUCUAAUUCCAACCAAAAAUCAUCCCUUGCCGCACCAACCAUCAACCCUAACCACUACCACACUCUCCCCCAUCCAUUAUACACCAUUUAAUAACCCAAAACCUGUCCACAAACUCUCUGCCGCAGCAAAGAGGAAGGAGGAACUUCGUGGAUGCACUUGCUGUCCAAGUUGGAGUAUCUAGAUGUUUUCUUUCCUUGGAUUUCAAUGUUUAAACUUAUUUAUCUUUGCUUUGUGCGUAUGAGGAACUAAACCCCCCCUUGGCUAGGGGGGAUUUGAAACCAUGUUUAUGCUUGCUAUAUGAUUUGAUUAUUUCUAAUUGCGUUUCAUAAAUUGUGAAUUCAAUUUACUUAUCUAUAUGAAUUAAGACUGAUUUGUGUGUGUUGGUUGAGAGUGCACGCUUAAUUUUCAUGCAUAAGUUUGAUGCUAGGGUAUAAGAGAGUUUCACCUAAUCGUUAUGAACUUAUAUUCGCAAGUAGUAAAGGUUGUUGAUCACAAUCGUGUUAAGUAAAUUCUUGGCAUAAGUUUCAUGCAAUUCAUAGUAACAAGUGCCUCGCCAAUGCUUAUGGUUUUCAUAGAACUUAAUGAUCUUUGCUUGUAUCUUUGUUAUGCAAUUCAUGCAGGGAAAUUGUGAGGAAUGCUUUGGGUUGUCGUAUGCAAUUCAUCCAAUUCGAUAACUUUAGGAAAAUCUGAGGGUUAAUUAGUGCAAUUCACGAUUAAUCUGGGGCAUUGGGAAUUCAUGGUUUAUUGAGAAGCAAUUGGGAAUCGUUUUGUAUGCAAGUGUGACAUGUGUGGAGAAGAACCCCUUAGCUAGCUUUCCACCCAUUCACUUUAACCAAAUUCGUUUUAAAAUCUGUUUAGUUUACAAAGUUUCUGUUUGUUUUCAAUUUUCGUUAAAACCAAUUCCCCAUUUAUUUUAAAGUGUUAGAUUAGCUAGAAAUCAAUUUAGUUUGUGUUUUUAAGUGUCUUGAGUCAAGUUAUAACCUAUUUUCGUCCAAAUUGUGUUUUGUGUUCAAAACUGCCCAGAAAGUGUUUUUAAGGCAGUUUUAAGUGUUUCUGGGCUGUUUUGAGUCUUUUGGUUUGUUUUAGUGUUUUAGAGUUUAGUUUUGCAUUCUUUGAGUCUAGUUUAGUGUUUUAAACUUUGGUUUUACGUUUUGAGUCAGUUUUCAAGUGAUUUAGCAAUCCCUCAUAAUCCCCGGCCUAGAACGAUCCCUACUUACAUACUUUGCUACAAUUGAUAAAAAGAGGGUUUAAUUUGUGUGCUUAUAUAUUUUGCAUCACUAGGUUGCAGGGGAAGAAGAUAAAGAUGGGGGAAAAGACAAGAGGAGGAGGAGAAAGGGUGGGGAAGACGAAUUGAAGGGCUUUUUCUUUGUCUGGAUUGCAGGGGGAAGAAGAUGAAGAUGGGGGAGAGGAGAGGAGAGGUUUCUGGGUUUGGGGAUUGCGGGGAGAAUAUAGGAGGAAGAGGGGGAUAAGGUUUCAGUUUUUUUUUUUUUUUUAAUUUAGAAGAUUUAGCUUUUUUUAAAAAAAAAUUAAAAAAAAAAAAUUUUGCCACGUGACACACAUUUGGCAACCACGUGGCACAAAUGUGGCAGCCAUAUCAGCACUUAACGGAUCAAUAGAUGGAAAAUAUAACGGAUGUAUUAUUUUGAAAUAAAAUAGUAGUGAGGUAUGAAAGUGAAAUGUUUUAAAAAUGUUGUAUAGGGUUGUAAUAGACCUUAAACCUGAGGGGCUACUAUGUAAUUAACCCAACUUUAUAUUAAUUGGAAAAACCUCCAUAAAUGAAACCGAUGAUGAAAGAAGGACAAAUAUAAAAGGGAGGUUUCCAAUUUCCAAGUCUUAAAAGAGCAACAUAAUUAGCUGUUGUUGUGACAAAAAUGUCCACACCUUCAAAAAUGAUUACUAAAUUUUUUUUCUUGAUAUACUAACAAAAACAAAGAAUAACAUAUGCACACACAUCCUUGAGAAUAAUGAACAACCUUUAGAUAGUAAUUUCAUUAAAGAUAUAGGAUAACAUAUUUCGUUUUUCGCACUUUGCAAGAAGAUCACAUAAGGAAAUAUUUGUCUUCCUGCAUGCAUUGCAUAAGAGCCAUAAAUAAAUGACUUACAUAAAAUGAAGAUUGAGAAUGGAGCAAAAAAAAACAGAAAGAUAAAACAACCAAAACAGAGAAUGGAGCAAUUAUUUUCAAAUUGCAUACCAAUUGAUUGCCUGGAAGAAUAUUUCUGAUCUCUCUCUAUCUACUUCCCUCUCCAUGUAUUUGUAGCAAUUGAUUGGACACCUUCCACAAAGAAACCACACAUCAUUAGCUGAUUUUUUCAGUGAAACAAUUUGAUUGAUGCAAAAACCAAAAUGGAAUACCUCAUAAAAAUAAAAUACCAAUCAAACAUUCAAGAGAAAGGAGACACAGAAAGGGAGAAUUCUCGACUUUAGGAGUGUGCUUGAAAUGUUGUAAAGCCCUGAAACUGGUACAAUUUAAAGUUUAAGUUCGUAUGAUUAUAUUUCUAUAUAAUAGCAUCAAAAAUGGACUAAAGUGUAGAAUAUCAAUAUCAAUUUAAUUAUUAACCAAAUCUCAAUAACUAUAAAAGUAAAUCAAAGAAGAAAAAAGCACAUAUCAUGCCCAUGCAUGUACGUUUGCUUCUGCACAUGAAAAAGGAAUACAAAUGAAAAGAAUACACAUAUGAAUAAAAUUAGACAUCUAUAUACAUUUACCAUCCUGACCACUAUGAAAAAUCUUCCUCGUAGCCAAAGUCAUAGAUUGCAAAACCACGCUUCUUCAAACAUUAUUUUAACAAUAAUUAGGGGCUAUGGUCAUAAGAAAAAAUAGAAUGUUCAAAAGACAUAAAAGUGGAGAUUUACCUAUUAGAACUGAAAUUAGUGCAAAAGGUUUGAAAAUUACCCAAUUAGAUACUGAAAAAGACAAAGAUGAGAUGGAGUGUGAAGGUAAAAUUAAGAUUGGCAACAAUUAACAAAUUCCUCCCUUCAAUCUUUGGAUAGUGUUCCUUGUUGGAUUGUUUUUUCUGAGAGACAAAUAAAACAAUAACUGUCACAGGCGUUUGACAAUUACCAAAUCUCCUCAUUUGCCUAGCAUUUAGAAAGGAAUUCAUAAAUAAAAACAUAAUUGACGUACAUCUUACAUCAUUAAUGUGUGGGUUUUUUCAAGUCUGGUUGAGCAAACUAUGUCAGUCUUAACUAAUUAAACUAUGUCAAUCUUCUCGCAAGAAAUAGGCAUGGAUGCAAUGUAAUUGUGUUUCCAUGAAUUUUACACAUGGUAUAACCUAUAUCUGAUUUCCUUGGAAGCCUGACCGCCUUUGCCGGCUAAAUCUCUGUCGUCAGCACAAUCAUCGUCGGCGUAAACCAAUCUGGGCUGUUUAUUUAGAGGCAUGUACACGUCUUUGUGGUAGAUCAGCGUCAACUACUUCUCCAAGUCCAUUGUAUAUGACAGAAAAGCGAAGUGGUAAGAUUAGAAAAAAAAUGUCGUACUCAGUGCACAAGGCUCCCGCUUUAAGCAGGGUCUGGGAGAGGUGAAUGUCGACUAGCCUUACCUCCAUUUAUGAAGUGGUAAGAUUAGAAGAAAAAAAAAAAAACCGUACAUGCACAAUUUUUUGCUGCAAUUAAAGGAUUGACAGAACAAUUGGAAAAAUAACAAAAAGAGAGAAUGAAAAGUACAUGUUAGAAUUGGGGUUAGACUCCUCCGUUGAAAAGUAAAAAAAAAAAAAUAUUCGGAAAUACAUCCGAAUUUAAGAUCAUACCCCAAAAAAAGGAAAAGAAGGUGAGAUAUUUGAUGAUACAUGCAAUGUUUUUCUGGAUUCAUGAUUUUCUUGGCAUGCAAUUUGUUAAUUUGUAUGGGAAAAUUGACUGAUGAAGGCAGAAGAGCCUUUUGGAGUUGUAGAAAACAACUCACCAAAAGAACAUCUGUUACAAUGAAGCAAAAGCAAAAAUGGAGUUUCUGUAAUAGAAGCAGAGGAUUACGGUGCCGAACUGCCGAUGGGUGAAUGUUGGGGGUGGAUGGAGAAGCAAAUCUGAAAAGGUUGAAAUUGAACAUUCCAAUCUCCUUUUCAGAACAUGGGUCGUACAUGGAGACGGCAGUUUCCAUCGUUAGAUCCUUGCAACUGCCGUUUUCCUCGUCCAGUCCUUUUUUUGUUUUUUUUUUUAAUAUAUCAUGUUUGGGAUCACUAAACUAAGGGGCCAAAUUCAUUGAUGAAAUUUAUGAUGAAUAUGCGAGGGUGGGUGUGAUUCAUCCAACCAAUAGUAACAAUCUUUGCUAGUGUGUGUAAACAGUAUCCCUCAGGCAACCAUUUCCCAUAAGUGUUGUGUUUCAUUUUUACUAUUUUACCCCUAUUAUAAGCGGUUAGUUUUGAGUUAUCUCUCUCAUUAAAUGAGGAUAUUUUUGGUAUAUUUAAAUGCUUCACCAAACUGAGGCUCUCACUUUAUAUAUAUAUAUAUAUAUAUAACAUAAUAUUUUGAAAUAUGGGUUGGAGUACAUAUUUUAUCAAUAUGUCAAAUUGUCAUGUAAGCUAUUAAAUUUUAGGGACUUUUAGAUCUAGGACCAAAAAUAUCGAUGGUUUUUAGGAGUGAUUCCAGUUAUCAAAUUACAUGUUUUUAUUUCUUUUAUACUCUUUUUUUAUAUUUUCUAAAAAUAUUAAAAAUCAAUUAAAAUCUUCAAAUAUCUUAUAACAAAAAAACUAAUAUACUAACAUAAAUCUAUCUACAAAACAUUCUACCUUAACUCAAGUAACAAAAAUAUGAAUAUAUAUAUAUAUAUAUAUAUAUAUUGUGCCUAUAAAUAAAAUAUGAAACCUAAGUAAAAGGUAGAAAAAACAUAAUAUACCUACAAGUAAGACACAUUAAUUAUAAAUUACACAAAAUCACCUCAAAUUUAGGUCACAUAACAAACUCAUACCUUAUCAUUUGAACAUUGCAAUGUCAUACGUCAAUUUAUGAAUUCGUUCCAAUGUCGUACCUUCGUCAGUCAAACCAUCUAGCUAACUGUUAAGUGAUGACGUGACAAGUCUAUGACCUAUAUUUUUGGUGAUGUGGCAGUUAACUGUUGUCACAUCCCGCCCCGAGCCCUUACCACAUCCCAGGCUUGACUCCACCGUAGCACGAUAUUGUCCGCUUUGGGCCUCGACCACGCCCUCACAAUUUUGUUUCUGGGAACUCACACGAGAACUUCUCAGUGGGUCACCCAUCAUGGGAUUGCUCUCGCGUGAACUCGCUUAACUUUGAAGUUCCUACGGAACCCGAAGCCAGUGAGCUCCAAAAAGGCCUUGUGCUAGGUAGAGAUGAGAAUAUACAUAUAAGCCUUACAGGAUGCUCACCCCUGGGCAAUGUGGGAUCUUACAAUCCACCCCCUUAGGGGCCCGAUGUCCUCGUCGGCAUACUUCGAGCCAGGGAGUAGCACGAUAUUGUCCGCUUUGGACCCUGACCACGCCCUCACGGUUUUGUUUCUGGGAACUCACACGAGAACUUCCCAAUGGAUCACCCAUCAUCGGAUUACUCUCGCGCAAACUCGCUUAACUUCGGAGUUCAUACAGAACCCGAAGUCAGUGAACUCCCAAAAUGCCUCGUGCUAGGUAGCGAUGGGAAUAUACAUAUAAGGCUUACAGGAUCCUCACCCCUGAGCGAUGUGGGAUCUUACAAUUGUCGCCCUCCUUCCCUGCCCCACCAGCUCCCGCUCUCUCGUGGGCUACAUAGGAAUACGUGUAAAUUGCUUUUCCCUUUCCGCCGUGAAACCCCGAUACGCAGCUACACAAUUCAUACACCUUGAAGUCGGGACCGAGACAAUGGAACCGUAUGACCCCAUUUCCGUUUGCGACGUAUUGCGCAUUCUCCUCCUCGUACUGGGCCCCGCCUUUGGACUCGACCUAGAACCUGCCUUCACGAACUCCCUGUACUCCUUGAACUGGGCAACUAUCUUAGACAUGUUCUAAAUGGGUCGGGCUCGAAACGGGGUUCGGGUGUUGUCGGCCGACUAACGUGUUUGGGUUUGGACCGCUUUGGCGACAGCGGUGGCGGCUGUCGGUUUUCUGGGUUUUGUCGUGUUGGUGCGUGGGGAGGAAGAAGGAUGGAUAGGCAGGGUUUGGCUAGGUGGGUGGAGAAUAAGGGGGUGGGUCCUAUUUUUUAUUUUUUUGUUUGUUUAUUAUUUAUUUAUUUUUAUUAAUAGAAGGAGUGGGCCCCUUUUUUAUUUUUUUUUAUUAAUAGGAACGAACCCUACUUGCCACAUAAUCAUUUAAUUAUCAAAUUAACAGAAAAAUUAGCAAAGGUCUGUCAUUGCAAGAAAUUCUAGGAUGAGGUAUGACAUUGCAACAAAUUCGAAGAUGAGGUAUGAUAUUGCAAUGUUUAAAAGAUGUAUGAGAUUGUGGUUCGACUUAUGAUUGAGGUAGUUUUGUGUAAUUAUUCCUAAACAUAAUUAACGUGUGAUAAAAGUUGAUUAUAAAAAUUAAUAAAUGGGGUUUAAAGCAGUACGAAGAACAAGAAAUAACAAAACAAUAAAUUAAAAAAAAAUAAUCAAAGAGAUAAUUAGGAAUAAAUUUGAUUUUUAUAAUAAAUCAUAACAUUGAAGAGAUAAUUAUUGAUAAUAAAAUAAUUAAACUUAAGGAAUUAGACUUAUUUUAAUAAAUUGGACUAUUCUAUUGGCUCAAAAAAUUUGACUUAUAUCAAGCUUUCUGUAAUUGGAGAUACUCUAAUUGGCUGAGCAACCAAUUAGUUUAUUCUAAUUUAACAUCUCUUUUAGAGAUACUCUAAUUAGUUGAGCAACCAAUAAGUUUACCAUGCAACGAGAACAACAUACAUUUAACAACUUCAACAUUUUAGAAUGUCUCGUACCAUUAAUAGGCUAUGUAGAAAAAAAAUAAACACAUAACAUAUUAUUCAACCGAGACACCACGUGACAGUGAACUCACGGUAUAUAAAUAUUUAUUCCUUACAACAUUCUUUUUUUUUAUCGAUAGUUACUCUAUUGCUCCAACAUGUAGGCCUCCAAUAUUCUAAAACUAGCACGGAUAGACGUUAUUCUAGAUUAGAUCCAAGUGGUUCUACAACCUAUUAGUUGAGAAAAUGUGUUCGUUUAAUAAGGCAGUUAGAGAUCUUAGGUUCAAUUCUUGCCAAAGUUAAAGUUGAACCACAUUAUUAUGGCAAGCUCAUUGUAAGGCUUAGUCCACUCCACCCCCUUAGUGUAGAUACUAUCGUCUGUUAAAAUAAGUUAGAGGGUGUGAAGAACUUAAAAUUUCAUUGUGUUGUGACUUAUUUUAAUCUGACAAGGGAGAGAGGGCCGGUGGCACAGAGAGAGAAUAGAGAGAGAUGUGUUUGUAAGAUUGUGUAGAGGAUGUGUUAUUCCCCAUACGUAGUGCCUUUAUUUAUAGUAAUAAGGAAGAGAAGAAUCAUUCUCCUCUAAGGAAUACAAGUCCUAAUAGGGAAAAAUAACUAGAUCAAAUCUAAUCUAGGAUUUACACAAUCACACUUAAAUAAGAAGUUUAUAACACUCCCCCCUUGAGUAGACCCAGUAGUUUCUGACACGAAACGAAAAUGACACGAAAAUAACGGGUUUCGGGUCAACACGAUAACUAACCGGGUCAUUAUCGGGUGACCCGUUAAGACUCGUUAAUAACAGGUUCUUAACGGGUGUACACGUGGGUAACCCAUUUCGACCCAUUAAGAAAAUAAUCAUUUUGAUAAUUUUAAAGUUUAAUUACUAAAAGAUUUAUUAUAAAAUAAAAUAGCCAUAUUCAUAUAUACAAUAUAUUCUAUUUAAAUAUGUAGUUUUGUAUUAUUAUUCUAUAUAAGUUUUAAAAAAAAAGUUUUAGUCAUUAUUUAUUUUUAUUAUGAGAGUUCCUUAUUAUCAUUACUAGGAUAAAUUUUACUUAACAUGUUGUUGUCCAAAAUUAAAAUAAACUAGUAUAGUAUUUGUAUAGGGAAGAAAUAAGAAGACAUACAUACAAGUAUGAAAAAUGUGAAAGAAUAUAUAAACACUUGUAAUUCAUCAUUAUUCCUCCACAAGUAGAUAAUGGUUACACUUACAUUAUCGUUUAGAUUUUUAAAAUCCUCCAAACCCUCAUGAAUAAUGUUUUUUAUUUGAGGGAAAAAUUAAUAAAAUUAAUAAAAAUUAUUGUAGAAGUGCAAAAAAUGUAUAAAUAUAUAUAUAUAUACAAUCACUCAUAGUGACAAGCUUCAAAAUCCAACACUAUAAUCCAUAAACCUUAAAUUUAUAUUUAACCGUCGAUUGUCAUUUACGCUUUAUUCUUCUUACUAAAUUUCAUUUUUUAAAUUUUCUUUUUUGAAAACAUGAUCAUUUGGCAGAUGUAAGAAGAUGAACGGUUCAGAUCUUUAAUAUCAUAUUUCGAUAUUUACGGUUAACUGAAAUAUAAGUUGAUGUCAUAUAGUUUAUAGAAACUUUAUAAACAUCAAGCAAUAUUUUCACUAAUCGUAAAACUCUGAACAUAAUAUCAACGAUCCAAACUGUUCAUCUUCCUGCAUCCUUUAAUAGAUAAUGUUUUCAAAAAAGAAAAUCUGAAAAAACAAAAUUUGAUGAGAAAAAUGAAGCGUAAAUGUAAACAACAAUCAACGAUUAAAUUUUGAUCUAUGAUUUAUAUGAUUAUAGUGGCGAAUUUCGAAGUUAAGCUCUUCACGAAAGUUGUAAAGCUUGUCAUUACGAGCAUUUAUAUAUUUUUUUCUAUAUUUUGUACACUUCUAAAUUAAUUAAAAAACUAUUAAAGACUUUACUUAAAUAACAGUCGCAAGAUAAAUGAGAGUAAAUUUGUACCGUUGGAUUCUAUUUCACUUAUAUUAUUAGAACUGUUUUGGAUGAAAAAGCCCCUUGUCUAUUCCAUUAUUUUCCAAUUUUACCAUUUGAUCAAAACAAAAGCUCCAAUCCCUUUCUCUCUCCCCACUCUCGUAACCUUCUCUCCUGAUCCCGCCAUCUGUUCUUCCUAGCCCUUCUCUCCCGCCGUAUGUUCAGUUUUUCCGGUAACCUCUGUCAGUCCUUCUUUUCUCCUCCCUCGUGUAGUGGACAAGGCUCUUGCUGUAGUUAAAGCAUUGGAAGGAAAGGUCAGUUCUUAUUUGGUUGAAACACAUUGAUUUUUUGUUUCUUAGACCUAUUUGGACCGAUUAGUUACAAAUCUUGUGCUAAUUUUCAGUUUAAUGUUGGGUAUUUAACUAUUUGUUUUUAUUUUAUUGAUAGAUAUUCCUUUAUACAGUGAUUUUCAUUUUUCUUAACUAUGAAUUUAGUGGAUUCAGUAAUUUGUUUCUGAUUUCUAAACUCUUCUACUUCUGCAGAGUUUGCAUUCAUUUUAUUUGUUUCCAUUUCUUUGUAUACAAUGUUCAAGGAAAAGUUAAUUAUAGGCAGUUGAAAGCUUGAAAUGUUUAUUUUUUUGCUGAAAGUUUUUGUUUAGCUGCAGUUAUUAUAAUUCGUAUCUUUUCUUAUAUGCCUGAUACAUUUUAUCUACUUUUGGAUGUGACAAUAUGGUAUGUAUAUACUUUUUUAGUAUUAUAUUUUUCAUUUGAUUAUUUAUUGGUUUAAAAUAUAUUUUCCUUAACGGGUAAUGGGUCGGGUCAUAUUACCUGUAAAUAUUAUCGGGUCGAUUUCGGGUCGGGUCAUUUUACCCGUUUAUUUUAACGGGUGUUACAUGACACGACCCGUUAAGAUAUCAGGUAUGACACGAAAACGAUAGGAACACAGAAGACAUGACACGAAUGUCAAGUCUACCCUUGAGUGUGUAAAUACUCAAGUAGAUUCGGCAUCAUGUAAAGUUGAGGAAGUUGACUCGUUGGCUCUGAUUCUGGGAACACGCUAGUUUCAAAGUAAAGUAGGAACUUGCAUAUGGAACUAAGUCUCACAAAAAACCCAACGGCUAUGGUAAAACCCAAGUAGGGACAAAAUCCAUAGUCUAUGGAAAAAUGCAUGAGAAAUGCAAAGUCAAAUGAAAUGUCUACGGGACGUCAUUAGUGAUAUGAUCAACCUAAGGUGAGUGCCUCAUCAAAACCUCGUUAGGUAGCAAAACCCCAAUGGGAAAAAUGCUCCUAAUCGUAGGGAAAAAGAGUACAUUAAGAUCAAGCAAGUAUACUUUAGGAUACUACCCCUGAGUUCGACAUAACUCCAAAGAGAACUAACAAUGUUACAACUCAUAAAGUUUAUGGAUACCUAUUCCUAAAACAAGCUUUGAAACGUCUCAUUCGGUAGUCAUUUGAUGAACUGGUCGACCUGAUUGUCUUAUGAAUAGAUUUGCGUGACUUCAAUCUUCAGGUGCUCUUGCUGUUGAUGUGAGAAUAAGAACUUCGACGUAAUGUGGUUGGUGUUAUCUCCUUUGAUGUAACUCUUAUUGAGCUGUUCGAUGCAUGCUACAUUGUCUUCAUAGAUCGUCGUCAGGAUGUCAACGACUAGGUAAAGAUUGCAGGAGCUUUUAAUAUGGCCUACAACUGCUCUUAACCAAAAGCAUUCCUGAGUUGCUUCAUGUAAGGCUAGAAUUUCAGCAUGGUUAGACGAAGUGGCAACUAAGGUCUGUUUAGUUGACCUCCAAGAGAUUGCGGUGCCUCCAACGGUAAAGAUAUAGCCCGUUUCAUAAUAUACCUUGUGUGGAUCAUAUAAGUAUCCUGCAUUGGCAUAACCAACAAGGUGAAAAUCGACUCGAGAUAAGGUGGGUGCGGCAACACUCGAGGAUCCGUAGGGAUGGAACAAGCCCAUAUCUGUAGUACCUUUACGGUAAUAGAAGAUGUCUUUAACACCAGCUCAGUGUCUCCGUGUUGGUGCAUUACUGUAUCUUGCCAAAAGAUUAACUGCGAAGGAGAUGUCAAGUUUAGUGCAUUAAGCUAAGUACAAUAAAGCGCCUAUCGCACUUAGAUAAGGAACUUCAGGCUCCAAAAUCUCUUCAUCAUCUUUUUUCGGAUAGAAGGGAUCUCAUUUUGCAUCUAGCGAAAGAACGACCAUAUGAGUACUUGAAGGCUUCGUUUUAUCCUCGUUAAAGUCGUGCAACACCUUUUGGGUGUAGUUCGAUUGAUGUACUAAGAUUCCAUCCGAACAAUGCUCUAUCUCGAGACCUAGACAGUAUCAAGUCUUUCCUAGAUCUUUUGUCUCAAAUUUCAACUUAAGGUGUGAAGUAGUUCUAUCGAGCUCUUCAGGAGUUCCAAUGAGGCUCAUGUCGUCGACAUAAAUUGCAACUAUCACAAAAGUGGAAUAUGACUUCUUAAUGAACACACAAGGGCAUAGUUCAUUGUUCACAUAUCCAUGACUAGUCAAAUACUAACUCAAAUGGUCAUACCAAAUUCUUUCAGAUUGCUUUAAACUGUAAAGUGAACGCCUCAGCCGAAUUGAAAGCGUGUUCCAGGGUUUGGAAAUAUUUGAUCCAGUCAAUGUAAGUCCUUCGGGAACUUUCAUAUAAAUUUUCAUAUCAAGAUCCCUAUAAAGAUACACAGUUACUACGUCCAUCAGCUGCAUGCUCAGUUUUUUUCGGAAACUACCAAACUAAUAAGGUAGCGAAAAGUAAUCACAUCCGUAACGGGUGAAUAGGUUUAGUCAUAGUCAAUCUGUGGGUGUUGUGAGAAGCCUUGCGCAACAAGUCGAGCUUUGUAACACAUAAUUUCAUUAUUUUCAUUAUGCUUCCGAACGAAAAAUCCACUUGUAGCCAAUCGGCUUCACAUGUGGAAGAGUAUGAGCUACAGGUCCAAACACCUUAUGUUUCGCAAACGAAUCAAGUUCAACUUGGAUUAUUUGUUUCCAGUUUGACUAAUCAGUUCUACGUCGACAUUCAUCAACAAAACGGGGUUCAAUGUUAGGGAUCUUAACAUUAUCUUAAUAGCUAUUGCAUAUGCUAAUGCAUAGUUGAUGAUCAUCUCAUUUCUACACCAAACAUCAUCCAAGCUAGCAUAAUGGAUCAAAAUUUCUCGAUUGUCAGGAGGUGGAUUUGUCUCUUCAAAGACGCUUCCAUAAUCUAGAAUUUCAUCAUGAGUUGGAUAGAAUGAGUAUGUGACAACCAAACUCACGGUAGGCUCAGGAGGAGCCUAUGCCAUGGGUUACCUCUUUCAGGGGUGUGAAUACUUUGAACCAACUAGUCUGCCACUCUUAUGUGUAGUGGUAGAGGAUUACUAGCCGUUAAUGUACGUGGAUCGACCAAAGUAGCGUCAUGGGCCUUCAAGAGGGAAAUAUGUCGUACAUUUGGUACAUCUAUCUUUGCAGGAACAUUCGCAAGUGGAAUAUAUGAUCUUGUCACUAGCACUAGAUCGGUGAAAGCAUCUGGCAUACUCUGAGCUACACUUUGAAGAUCUAAUAUGCAAUGCACUUCAGUUUCAAACUGAGCGGUGCGGGGAUCUAAGUGAGACAAAGUGAGAGUCGUCCACCAUAAUUUGCCUCAUUCUUUAGGAACGGUGAUGUUUUUAUCUCCCCCUAACGAUGGGACGGUUGUCUCAUAGAAGUGACAAUCUGCAAAACAAGCGGUAAACAAAUCACUUGUCAAAGGUUCUAAGUAACGAAUGAUUCAAGGAGAAUCAUAUCCGACAUAGAUUCCCAUCCUUUGUUGAGGCCCUAUUUUUCUAUGUAAGGGCCGCAAAAUCGGCUCAUAGACCGUGUAACAAAAAACACGCAAAUGUGAUAUGUUGGGUUUGUAUCCAAUAACCAACUGAAUGACGUUAUAUGGUUGGGUCGCAACAGACCUCAGGCGAACCAACAUAGCUGCGUGCAAUAUUGCAUGGCCCCUAACAGUGAUCGAGAGCUUUGUACGUAUGACCAACAAAAAAGCAAUCAUUUGUAAACGCUUAAUGAAUGCCUCUGCCAGGCCAUUAUGGGUAUGAACAUGGGGUACUAUAUGUUCAAUUUCAACCCCAACUGACAUGCAAUAGUCAUCAAAAGUUUUAGAUGUGAAUUCUCCAGCAUUAUCCAAUCGAAUAGAUUUGAUCGAAUAAUCAGGAUGGUGAGCCCUAAGCUUGAUAACCUGAGCCAACAGUUUGGAAAGUGCCGCGCUCCUUGUGGACAACAAGCACACGUGUGACCAACAUGUGGAAGCGUCAACCAAUACCAUAAAAUAUCUAAAUGGUUCGCAUGGAGGGAAAAUCAAUCCAAAAAUGUCCUCUUGAAUCCUUUGUAAAAAGGUAGAAGGAUUCAAACGAAUCUUGUCAUAAGAAGGCUUAAUAAUAAGCUUUCCCAUGGAGCAAGUUUGACAUACGAUUCCUUGAAUCGAACCUAAACUUCAGGUUAGUGCAUGCUCGUGUGAUGAUUUGAGGAUACAGUGCAUCACUGUUCAUCCAGGGUGUCCCAAACGAUCAUGCCAAAGUGUAAUUUCAUGCGCAGUCCCAGAGGUAGGGCCUACCACAUAAUGGCUCUUAAUAGGGCACAUGGUCGUAGUAUACGGACCACUCGGGAUACACUCCAUCUUCUCUAGAAUAUGUUUCCAGCUAUAUUCGUAUGAAGUUAUGCACAGAAAUUCAACUUCGUUUUCUACAUCAAUAACGUUCUUCCGAAAAGUGGAGAAUAAAGUGCCUGAUCAAUGGUCAAGAUUAUACCAUUGGAUAACAUUAUACGUGCAUUACUAUAUCCUUCAAUCAGGUUGGAUAGGCUUGAAAGAGUUGUCAGAGGUGCAUUCUUAGGUAUGAAGUCAGUGAAAUAGAUACGUUCACGCAAAACAAUGUGCAUGGUUACACUAUCUGCCAGACAACUAACUUUCCCACUAGUCAUACCUAGAAAUAAAAAUUAAUUUGAAUGGUCAUGUGCAUAAAAGUUCUUAAAACAAGUAUCCAUUCAAAAUAAUUUAAGUAUUCAAAGAUGGUAAUUAAAAACUUAAUAUCCAAAAACAAAUCACCAACAAAUAAUCCAAACAUAAAGAAAAAUUGUUCAAACUUAAACAAAAAAACAAAAGGGGGGUUCGGCCCCUAUGUGGAAUUCGGCCCCCAAGGUUCUAAAUGCAAUUAAAAAUAGUUUAUGUCUAAGAUUCUAAUCUUCCAUAGGGGUAACAGCCUCUGGAAAGUCAGAAACAUCCAUCUUGGUACUCUCCGGUUCAUCCACUUACAUAAAAUUUGAUUCAAACUUCUUAUGACGAGAAUGAUAUUCAACUACAACCUUUUGGAAAGCACGGAAAACACUGGACCAAUGUUCCUUUGAACCACAACAGUAGCACAUGUUCGUAUCCAUGGUUUUAGGUGCUUUGCCCUUAUUCUUGAAGUUUGGGGCCUUGGGAGGGAGUGAUAGGAGCAUAUUUAUGCGACUUAAUUGUCUUGUUCUUGUGCGUUUACAUUGUGUUUCCUUAGUUAUUUUAGUGUUUAAAGCCAUUUUCAUUUGUUUGUAGGUCUUAAUAACAACCUUGGCAAGAAAAGUGCAUUUUGGUGCAUGUUGGAUCAAUAUUGGGUUGAAAUGGAUUGCAUGCAUGAGGAUGGACGUUUUGGGCAUAUGUGUGUGCAUGUGUGUGUGUGCAAUUGCAAGGAUAAACAAUGACAACUCAUACACAUGCAAACACAUGGCAAAAGAGGGAGAAAACACAUGCAAAGACACCCACAUGCAAAGUGAAAACAAAACUCACGGAAAAGGAGAAGGAAUUGUGUGUGUUUUGUGGUUGAAAUGAUGAAGCAUGUGUGUGUAAAUGUAAAGGGGAAAACAUGGCAGCAAACACAUGGCAAAGAAAGCAAACACAUGGCAAAGAGAAGAACAUUGAAGCAACCACAUGGGAGCACACGGCAUAGGGCAGAAAAUGUGGGUGUUUGGUGCUUGAAAUGAUGAAGCAUGUGUGUGUAAAUGUAAAGGAAAAUAGGGCAGAAAAUGUGUGUGUGUUGUGGUUGAAAUGAUGAAGCAUGUGUGUGAAAAUGUAAAGAGGAAACAUGCCAACACACACCCACACAAGCUGCACAUGCAAAGGAAAUGGAGUGGUCCUCUCUCAAGCCUAUAAAUACCACCUCCCAUAUUCAUCAAAGAGACAACAGAUUUUCUCCUUGCUUUGGCCGAAACUUCCCACCACCAUUCUCUCUAAUUUCAGCCAAAAACCACCCCUAGCCACACCACCCAUCAAUCCUAAACCUUUCCAUACCAUUCCCCAUCCAUUCUACACCAUAAAAACCACCCAAAACCGUCCAAAACCUCUAGUGCCGCUGCUUGCAAGGAAGGAAAGAGAAGGAACAUCUUGUGCCGUGCCUAUGCCCAAGCCUUGGGAGUGUUGGAGCGUUUCUAGGUGUUUUCUAUCUUUGAUUUCAAUGUUUAAAUUAAGUUAUCUUUGUGUAAUUGCGAGUAUGAGGAACUAAACCCCCCUUGGCUAGGGGGGGAUUCAAAACCAUGUUUAUGCUUGCUAUAUGAUUUGAUUACUUCCAACUGCGUUUCAUGAAUUGUGAAUUUAAUUUACUUAUCUCUAUGAAUUAAAACUAAUUUGUGUAUGUUGGUUGAGAGUGCACGCUUAAUUUUCAUGCAUAAGUUUGAUGCUAGGAUAUAAGGAAGUUUCACCUAAUCGUUAUGAACUUAUAUUCAUAAGUAGUGAAGGUUGCUAGUCACAAUCACGUUAAGUAAAUUCUUGGCAUAAGUUUCAUGCAAUUCAUAGUAACGAGUGCCUCGUCAAUGCUUAUGUUUUUCAUAGAACUUAAUGAUUCUUGCGUGUAUCUCUAUUAUGCAAUUCAUGUAGGGAACUUGUAGGGAAUGUUUUGGGUUGUCGUAUGCAAUCAUCCAACCUAAUAACUUGUGGAAAAACUGAGGGUUAAUUAGUGCAAUUCACGGUUAAUUUAGGGCGUUGAGUAUUCAUGGUUUGUCAAAGAGCAAUUGGAAAUCAUUUUGUAUGCAAGUAUAACAUGUGUGGAGAAGAACCCCUUAGCUAGCUUCUCAUCCAUUCAAUUUGAUCAAUCUCGUUUUAAAACCUAUUUUGUUUUACAAAGUUCUUGUUUUGUUUUCAAAUUCGUCUAAAAUCAAUCCCCCUUUAUUUUGUUGAGUCAUAUUAGUUAGAAAUCAAUUUAGUGUUUUUAAGUGUCUUGAGUCAAGUUAUAACAUAUUUUCGUUCAAAUUCUUCCUUAGUGUUCAAAACUGCCCAGAUUGUGUUUUUAAGGCAGUUUUGAGUGUUUAGGUGCUGUUUUGAGUCUUUUGGUUUGUUUUAGUGUUUUAAAGUAUAGUUUUGCAUUCUUUGAGUCUAGUUUAGUGUUUUAAACUUUGUUUUUACGUUUUCAAGUCAGUUUCCAAGUGAUUUAGCAAUCCCUCCUAAUCCCCGGCCUAGAACGAUCCCUACUUACAUAUUUUACUACAAUUGAUAAAAGAGGGUUUAAUUUGUGUGCUUAUAUAUUUCGCAUCAGGGAGGUUCCUACCAUGUCUAUGUUGGAGUUUUGGGCGUUAGUUGUGCUAUAAUGUGCUUCAAGCACAACAAUCGCCCAAGUAGGUCGAGCUUGAUGAUUUUUCAUCAAUAGUUGAUUUUACUUUUCAGCGAAAAGUAAAGCAAAGAUCAAAUCCAAAAACUCAGUGAACUUCUGAGCCCUAUAUUGUUGCUGCAAGACAAUAUUGGUAGUAGAGAAGGACAAAUAGGUCUCUUCCAGAAGAUCCUUUUCGGUCAAGUUCUCGUUACAGUGAGAAGUGAUCGGAUUCGACAAACUUCAGAAUUACAUUCAUUCACAGACUUAAAGUCAUGGAAGCGCAAAUGUUGUCAAUCAUGUCUUGCUUCAGGCAAGAAGAUGUCCUUUUGGUGAUCAAAGCGAUCAGCCAAUGCAACCCGAAGUGCUCAUGGAUCUUCCUCAACAAGGUACUCUGUUUGCAGUGCAUCAUGAAUGUGUCUUCGGAUGAAGAUCAUCGCAGUGGCUUUCCCAGAUUCGUCAACCGAGUUGUCCAUCUUAUCUUCAAUGAUGGGAUGUAAAUUCUUUACGGUGAAGUGAAGUUUCCCAUCUUGGACCCAUUUGAGGUAGUUUCUUCCAGAGACCUCUAAAGUGGUGAAGUCGAGUUUGUUCAAAUUCGACAUGUCCCUAUCACAAAAUAAAUGGACAAGAAUGUGGUUAGUAUAGUGGAGAAAAAAUCAAUCCAUUCACAUAGGAGUAGAACAUUUAGGUUUUAAUAGACAUGUAUUGACUUAAAUUUACAUGAAAAAAAUUCUUUUUUUCAUCAAUAUGUUUUUAAGGAAAACUUCAGGUUUUCAAACAAGGCGUGUUUCUAGAAACUUUAGGUUUCGAUAGAAAUAUGAACUUCAGGUUCAUAUGUUCCUAUAGACAAACACAAAUAUAUAUAUAUAUAUAUAUAUAUAUAUAUAUAUAUAUUGGGCAGGUUUUCAAACAAGGCGUGUUUCUAGAAACUUUAGGUUUCGAUAGAAAUAUGAACUUCAGGUUCAUAUGUUCCUGUAGACAAACACAAAUAUAUAUAUAUAUAUAUAUAAUAUAUAUAUAUAUAUAUAUAUAUAUUCAUCAAUGAUGUUUUUAAGGAAAACUUCAGGUUUUCAAACAAGGCGUGUUUCUAGAAACUUUAGGUUUCGAUAGAAAUAUGAACUUCAGGUUCAUAUGUUCCUAUAGACAAACACAAAUAUAUAUAUAUAUAUACACACACACAGAAAUAAGCAACAAGAAAAUAUGCAAAUAGAUCUUCAAGUCUAAAAUUAUAAUUGAAUUAAUUAUUUGGACUCGGGCCAAAUUUAAAGUGCAGGUGAAAAAUUAUAAAACCCAAAUUGUCUAAAAAAAUAAACAAUUAAACUCGGGGGCCAAAAUAAGAGACCAAAGCCCAUGGGUGGGCUGAGCAAAUAUAUGUCGUGAGAUCUAGGCCCAAAAUUAGGCUGGAGUAGGCACGGGCUGAUCAGGCCAAAAAAAAAGUUUGGGCUACGAGCCCAGUAACAGCAAAUGGGCUGCAAAACAUAGGUCAAAAAACAAAGGCCCAUAUGGGCGCUAAUCAGGUGCGGUAGGGCUUUAAGCCCACAUGGAGGUAAGCUCAGGUGUUUCACGGUCCAGUGCAUCGAUGUUCCAACUUUGGGCUGGAAUCCGAUGCAACGCAGGUAAAUGAACCCAGGGAAGACGUAAUGUACUGCGUCACAGGAUGUAAGGACACCAUAUCCAUGGGCUGGUGUCGCAGGCUGAGUCCAACAGAGGCUCAAUUGGGCUUUGUGAUGCAAGCUGAGAGAAGCAAAGCCCAAGUGGGCUUGAGUUAAGUCCAAAACACCCCAGGUCAGAACUAGGUUGUGUCGCCGGAAAAAGAAAUCUGCGCCGCAUCUUCAGGUGGCUGGGUUUUAAGACAUGGUUCUCGGUGCAGGGUCGUGGGUUCGACGACAAGCCAAUUCCUAGUGACGGAGGGAGUACCUCGAUGUUGAAGGGAAGGAAAAAGGAAACCUAAAAACUUCAAACUUGAAUUUCACCCAAAUUCGAUGAAAUUAUUGUGGAAGUUCAAUGAUUUUGGUUCAAAAUCAUGACACCAUGUCGGAAUUUGCCAGAAAAUUGCACGGCAAGGUCGUGGUCUUACUGCAGACGAGUUAAGGUUUCUGGGUUGGACGCCAUCGACGUCUUUCCAGGUGGAGCUUGAUAGCUUCGUGGGUAGCUCGGGUCAUGGGUUCGAAGAACCCUAGGAAAUUAUUUUUAAUAACUUUUUUCUUUUGAUUUCCAAAUUAAUUCAAUGCAUAUUCAAUCAAAUAAUUCAAUGCAUGGACAUAUGAUGCAAUUCAUGGCAAUAUCAAUUUCACAUAAUUCAACAAUUAUGGAUAUAAUGCAUGCACAAUUGAUGUAGAAUCUAAAAUUCGAAAAACAUAAAGUUGGGUCAUGCAUUAUGGUGAAUGUUCAUGCUAUUAGGGCUGCAAAAAUAUCGAGAUAAAAAUUGUUGUUUUGAAAGAACAUGAUUGCAUUAUGAUAUUGAUGAACUGGUUUGAUGCAGAAAACUUCCACAUCAGAUUCCUAAGAGCAGCGAUAGAAGCGUGCUGAUAACGUGUUAUGGCUUAUUUUAAUCUGACAAGGGAGAGGGGGCUGGCGGCAUAGAGAGAGAAUAGAGAGAGAUGCGUUUGUAGGGUUGUGUAGAGGAUGAGUUAUUCCCCUACGCAGUGCCUUUAUUUAUAGUAAUAAGGGAGGGAAGAAUCCUUCUCCUCCAGGAAUACAAGUCCUAAUAGAGAAAAAUAACUAGUAUCAAAUAUAAUCUAGAAUUACACAAUCACACUUAAAUAAGAAGUUUAUAAUUUAUUGGUAUUUAUAGGCUAGAUUUAUUUGGAAUGUACUACAAUUUAGAAAAAUAAAUAAAUAAAUAAAAAUGAUUGGAUGUGAACAGACUUUCAUAAUUUGUGUUCAAAUGGGUACUGGUUCAAAUGGAUAAAUUGGUAAAGAUAAUUAAGAUUCAAAAAGCCCAGUGUUUGUGCAUCAAAUAUUUUCCUCCCUAAACAAAAUUAAUCAAUGAUAUAGUUUAGUUGGGAAUUUUAUUUGGCAGUGAAUCUCAACCUAUAACGUAAGACAUGUUGUAUAAAACACCAGAUAAGACUAAUAAUACGGAGUCAGGUGUUUGGUGUCCCUUUGUAUUAAAUAGUUAACGGAUUAAAUAAUUCGGCUCCACUUAUUUUAUACAAUGAGAACCCAAAUAGUUCCCCUCUCCAAAACCAUGGUUUUAUUUAGUUGGAUAGAAAUAUCUUGCUUUCUUAGUCCCUCUCAGGCUUGCUCUCUCCUCUGAAUCAGAGGUUGGUCUUCUUCUUCUUCCCAGGUUCGGCCCUCCUUCUAUUCUUCCCUCCUAUUUUUCCUGCAAUCUUCUUCUUCUUCAUCCCAAGUUCAGCCCUCCUUCUGUUCUUCCCUCCUAUUUUUCUCGCAAUCUUCUUCUUCUUCAUCCUAGGUUCAGCCCUCUUCCUUCUGUUCUUCCCUCUUAUUUUUUUUUCCUCCAAUUUUCUUCCAAUUGAUUAAAUCUAGGUAUUGUUUUCUCUCUAAUUUUUCAAUUGAUUAUAUAAUUUUGUCUUUUAAUUAGAAUUUUAGAGUUUGUUAUUGGGUUGAAUUAAAGGUCCUUUUAAUGUUUGGAAGACUUUGCAUUUGUGAGUAUUGCUAUUUGAACUCCAGGAAAUCGAUGAAUAGGCAGGUCUGUCCCGUUAUUAUAUUUAUAGGCCCACCCUACAUCCAUACAUGAAACCCACCCCGCCCCAUUUUCUCUUUACCAAAUGCCCCGCCUUGAACCUGCCCAGUCCCCCAUUACCCAGCCCUAUCGGUGGGUCUACUACCUGUUUUGCCCACCCCUAGGUUUAGGGUUUCGUCAAUACUUUUUUUUUUUUUUUUAACAAACGAUAAUCUAAAUUUAGGGGACGAGGUUGGCUAAGUCUCAUAAUUGGCUAAUAAUAAUGUAGUUUAAAUUCACUUUUGGCAAGAAUUGAACCUAAGACCUCUCACUUACAAAUAAAGAAGAAUAUCACUAGACCAUAAUACUAAGUAACUAUAAUAUAUUUAACAUGUACUUGGUUUCUAUUACAACUAUUUCCAACUAUUUCUUUGUGCUUAUUCAUCAAAUUUUUUAGUGUCAUCUGACCCACAUCAAGUCUUAAUUUGUUCUUGCGUCCUGAUGAAUUUGGUGCACAAAGUCGACAAAAUGUAUGGAGGACUAUUUGGUCGAAUGUUCUCUGAGAAUACAGAGGUUAAAUUUCCAACAGAAAAAGAAGGUCUUGAGUCUGAUGAUGAUCCACCUACACUUACAGGAGCUGCUUCCUUUGUACGGAAAGAGAUCUUUUCCGUAUCUUUAGUACCGGAUCAAGUUAUCCAGACAUUUAAAAUUUGAUCAAACGGCUAAAAGUUGCUCAUUUUAGUUGUUGGAUCAAUUUUCAAAGACCCGAAUUACUUGAUCCGGUGGCCUUGGUGGAAAAGAUCUAGAGAGGAUCUCUUUCCCUUUGUACCACCUUCAUGUCAAAAUAUUUAAUAUUUUUUUGGUAUUGUAUUUGUUGGGUUUUGAAUAUAGGAUAAUAUGAGAAAAAAAUCAACAAACAGGACCUGUCAAAAUUUUUUCCUCUUCCCUUUUUCUUAUUCGGUUGAGUACCAAACAUAGCAUAAUUAAGAUGGAUUUUAGUUCGAUAUUACGCUAAAUGCCUGAAUAAUUUAAUCGACUAUUAUCCUAUCCAAUUCAAAAAAUCAGUACAUUUCAAAAAACAAGGCCUUAUGGUUAAGCGUUGAGCAGCACCAAUUUGAGUGCACCUCACAAAAUAAACAAAACUCAAAUCAGAAAUGUGACCAAAACGAAAACCCCACUGAGAUAGGAUAUCGAAAAUAAAACCUAGUAGGAACAAAUAGAACCAUUUGUAGAAUUGGGGAUAGGAAAGAGAACCCAGAUAACAACUACAUGAGAAGAAGGGGGAACCGAGGUCACGGCGGCGGGAGGGAGACCUGUCGGCGUUGCCGCGACGGACAGGGACUGAAUUUUUAUCCUGAUCGUAGCUGGUGACCUGGGCGUUGGUGUUGAAUGACCGAGAAACGAUGGGAAAUACAGAAGCAGAACGUAUGGGGUUGGAGAGCUUGGAGAUGAGGGUUGGUGCUGCGGCCCUUUUGAUAAGGAUAGACAUUGACGAAGCCAUUGUUGUGCUGCAAGAAAUACGAUUGUAGUGGCUUUGAUUUGGGUUUUUUUAUCGGUUUGUGAAAUGAUUUGUGCUCGUUGGGUUUACAGGAGGUUUAAGGGGAAGGGGAUUUUAUAUAGAGCAGACACAAGUGAUGGCAUAAUCACAUGGGAAACCGUGGAGGAGUGAAGAUUCUAGAAACCAAAAGAUAUAAUUAUUUAUAACCUUGUUAUUGUAUUAAUUUCUGUCUAUUUAUCAAUGCACCCUGGAAUACCUUUUUAUUGGUCAUGUGCUUUUGAUGCUCAUAUAGAUGUAGACACAAUAUACACGGCGUAUUGUGUUAUGAUUUAGUUGACACAUGUGCAUUGUAUUGGUAGAUUGUCCUUGGGACUUAACGAUAGAUGAAAAUUGUAGGUGCUUCGAAUAUGCUCUCGUGUACACAUGUGGUGUUGUGUAUGGUGACGAGCUCGAAGACGUCAUAGCUAAGGUCUAUUUGGUUGACCUCUAAAAUAUUGCAAUGUCCCUAACGGCAAAGACAUAACCAGUUUGGAAAUGUUCCUUGUGCAAAUUAAACAAUAAUCUAUGUCAGCGUAUUCCACAAGGUAGGCAUUUUUCGAGAACCAAGAGGUUAGGAUUCUUUUACGAUGCAUAGCAAUAGAAUAAGCCCAAAUCCGUAGUAAACGAAAAAUGUCUAUAACACCAAAUUGGUGGUGGUGUGUAGGCGAACUACUGCCUUAUGCCAAAAGAUUAUCGAGGAUUGAGAUGUUUGAUCUAGUGCUUUGAGUUUAGUACAAUAAACGUGAACUGCACUUAGAUAUGGAACUUUAGGCUCCAUAACCUCCACAAAAGGUUUCAUUCGCAUCUAGUCAUAUGGACGAGCAUAGGUAUACUUGAAAGCAACACCUUUUGGGUGUAGUUUGACUGGUGGACCAGAAUACCGUCAGAACUCACGCUUGAAACUUUAGGCCAAGAUAGUGUUGAUUUUUCCCAAGAUCUUUCAUCUCAAAGUCCGACUUCAAGUGCGAGGCAGUUUUCUCAAGCUUUUCUAGAGUUUUAGUGAGAUUCAUGUCAUUGACAUGAACUGCAACUUUAGUAAUUUUGGAUUUUGUACACGCAGGGGCAUAUAUAUCCCUAACUAAUCAAAUAUUCACUUAGACGAGUAUACCACAUUCAACCGGAUUGGGGAAAGCCUCUUCUAAAUCGAGAGAGUGUUCAGUGGUCUAGAACUAUUUGAACUAGCACAUGUAAGUCUUUCAAAAACUUCCAUGUAGAUUUCGUGUCAUGAUCCUAGGGAUACGUCAUAACCACGUUUAUAAUGAUGUAGUCAAUCCAAGGCAUAUGAGAGAAGUCUUGCGCCAUAAAACGAUGUUAUAUUACACUAUUUUGUUUAUCCCAUUUGACAUGGAUUGUUUCUUUCUAGUGGCUUGAGCUGAGCCUCCGCACUGAAUCAAUUUCCAUUCUAGAGGGGAACAACAUAAGGUUGGUCUCACAAAGCAACGAUUGCCUCCUCCUCCUCUGUUUUUUUUUUCGAAUUCUUCUUAUGUCAUGUUCAUUUUAGUGUUUUGGUUAAUGAAAUGAGAAAUCAAUUAUCGACACAAGAAUGACAUAAUGACAACGUUCUAAAAACGGCAAUUUAUCAAUAAUAGCCAAAAAUUCACUCUUAAUUUCAAAAAUGUCAUUUUUUAUAAAACUUUCAAUUGUAUCUAAAAUCCUAGUUAAAUAGACAGAAAUACCCUUAAUUCAAGUGGAUAAUUAUCCAGCCAGAAUUGAUACAUACAAUUUGCAUAAAAACUACGGACACAAUUAUGUUCAACUACAAAAGCAAUUUGGAUAAAAACUUCAUAAGCAAUUAUGUUAAAGUUACAUUAGGCAAUUUACAUAAUAACUACAUUGCAUAAACACUUGAUGACACAUCCCGACCCGGAUUGUCCACUAGGACUGCGAAUCAAGUUGUGAUGGACAACACAUGGAAGGUGACGAAGCCAUAAAGUGUGGUGAUGUGGAAUAUGUGAAUAAAUUUAAACCUAAAAGUGUCUAAACACGAGAGUACGCUGUGAGCGGGAAUGAACCCAUUUCACAUGUGACGUCAGAGCAUAAGUAAAGUAUAGUAAAGUGGAUUGAAAAUCAUACCAUCGAAGGUAAUCUCCAAUACCAAGACUUGCCAUGAAUCCUCAUCAAUACGAAAACUUUGCUACUAAAACCUAGAAGGAUAAAAAAAAUAAGAGUGAGUGGGCCUGAGUAUAAAGCUUUAAUAAGGACCUUCUAAAUGAUAUAACCCAUUGCUGCACUACCUGUAUAGUUUCCAGGAAAUCAUACUACAUAUAAGUAUGAAGUCAAAUGUAAAUCAACAUUAAAUCUAAAAAUAAUCCAAAAUCACUACAGAUCGGCAACAGCAUAAUAAGAUCAGGUGCUCAUCUAUCUAUGAUAACCCACGAGUUGGAGUUGCCUAACGCAACUUGUACGACUCAUAAAUCAACCUAUGAUAACACAUGAGUCAGAGUUGCCUAAUGCACCCUGUAUGACUCAUAGGCAACCUGUACAAUGGUGUCGGAGUUCCCAUUGCGACCUGUAUGAUAAUGUCGGAGUUACCUAUCAUUGCAAAUUGUAUGACAGUGUCGGAGUUGCCUAUUACAACAUGUACGACAAUGUCGGAGUUGCCUACUAUUGCAACAUGUACGACAAUGUCGGAGUUGCCCAUUAUUGCAACCUGUAUGAUAGUGUCGGAGUUGCAUAAAACAUAAAUAUAGUCAUAUCAUCAAUCAAUCAUUUCAAAUAACACCAUAAACUCACCUAAACUUACAUGCGGGUCCCACGUUCACCUUAGCACUUCAAAGCAUUCACAACAAUUAUAUGUAGGUGAUAUGCAUAUGGAUAUGCCAUAAUGCAAUCUAAAACUCAACCAUAUCAUAGAAUUUUAGAUUAUAUAAUAUAUAUAUAUAUAUAUGACAUGGCAUAAAAUGCAUAAAUCAAUUUAAAAAUGUUUGUGGAAUUAUCAAUCAUAUAUAUACGAUAAAAAAGAAAAGACCCACUCACCAGAGGUCCACGCUACGACUCCUUAGCACGAAUAUCGAGACAUCAUGAAUGAUCCUCACCUAGAACAAUUAUUCAGUCACGUCUCAGAACUCUUAUCAAUAGAACAUGUAACUUACAUAAAACACAUCCCAAUGACGUUCUAGAAUGAUUUGAGACCCAUUGACCAAAAGUCAACCGUCGGUCAAAGAUCAACAGUAGGGUCCACAACCCUAUGUAAUUCAAUCCGGAAGAUCCGCAUCUCGGAUUUCCAUUCCAUAACUUCUAAAGAUCCACAUUGUGCUUCUAAAAUAUCAUACUAAAGUUUCAUUACAAUCCAACGGUUGGAUCUCCACCAAUUGCCAAUUCAAGUGGCAGUCAACGUUUUAUUUUACUAACUUACAAAUCUAAUUUGAAAAAAUCCGUACAUCAGAUUUCCAAUCCAUAAGUUUCUAAUAUCCUCAAAUAUUACAUACUAUAUUGUAUUAAAGUUUGGUGACGAUCCAACGGUCGGAUCACCAAUUCACAUAAUGUUCAAGUAGCGUCUUUAUCAAAACUAUGUUCAAACGAUGAGAUUUCAUCAAUUGGACUUCACCUAUGGAAUUGGGGUGUCAAACUUAGCUUAGAAAGGUCAGGGGAUGACUCGGCUUACACACCGCCGCACACGGCGGUUGGCCACCCCGAUUCGCUGAAAAAUUCAACUAUCUCCAAAAAUUCUCAAAUUUUACAGAAAUGAAGAUCUCAAAGAGUAGAGUAAGUUUUAUACCUGUGGACAAGUCCAAUUUGUCCGGGAAAGGCUCCAAUUUCACUCAAACCCUUUAGAACCCUAAAAUGGGUGAACUUUGAUUCUCCUACCUCGGUGUUCCAAUGUCUCUACCACUGGUUGGGUCAUGUUCCUGGGUCCAAAGGGAGUUAAUUGAGGGUGGUGGUGGGUAGUGAAACUCACCGGAACGAUGAAAUCGACUUCGAACACCUCCGGUGCUCCGGCACUGUUCUUGAUGAUUUUGGACUUAAAACCCCACGAAUUUGGGUGAAGAUGGAAGAUGGAAGGUUGUAUAAGAGGUUACAGGUGUUGUAUGGUCAUGAUUCGAUGGAAGAAAUGGCGAAAUUCGCCGGAAAUGGUUGGGUUGGGUUGGGUGUGGGGGUUGUACGAGUCGGGGGAAAGCUGAAGGCUUUCCUUUUUUUUUUUUUUUUUUUUCCUCCCCCUUUCUAAUUGGUCCUUAGUUCCAUUUAAAUUGAUUGGUCCUUUAUUCCCUUGCUAAAAGCUAAUUGGCUUCCUUCCCACAAAAUGGGAGCUUAAAUUAUUUAACUAACUUUAAAUAAUCAACUUCAAACGUCUGUAACUAUACUGUUAGCUUUUGCCUAUGUGUUCAUAGCUUCAAGAUCUAUUUGGAAACACUAAUUGUGACUUCGAACGGUCAACGAAAGUCAAACAUCCUUGCCUCUAAAGGUAUUUUCAUAAAAUCACUACUUUAAAAUUUAUAAAACUGAAGAUUUUGGGAUGACAUGUCACACUUGAGAACAAAUAAAAAUGUACCCAAAUACAUACAAACCUAUAGCAAAGAACCACAAAUCAGCGAAACCACAUUUAAGUGUUAUCUAUUUCUCUCCUAAAAAUUAGCGAAACCAAAGAACCAAAAAGGGAUACCAACAAAAAUAUGGAAUAAAUUAAAAAAGAAAAAGAAAACAUAGACGAGGAAAAAUAAUAAAAAAUUAACCAUCUACACUUACCGUCGUGAGUGUAGAUGCCAUAUAACCAUAGUGAGGAGUAUUGUAGGAUGACACAUGUACAACAAGUUCACAAUUUAAAACCAUAUAAAGUGCAAAAUAGGAGAAAAAUAAGAAAAUAUAUUAAUGUAAGAUACUUAUCUGUUAAAAGCCCAAGGUACACAUUAUUUAGUUAGCAAUUAAUUUUGAAACUAUGCAAGUUGCUUUGGUACAAAUUUGUUAAAAGACCUUUACAAAUUCCGAAACCAAAAAGCCCACGGUACUAACCCCCAAAAAGGCCGACCAAUUGUAAAAAAGGCAUGCAAAUUACAAAUUGCUUUUAUAUCCAAUUAAAUUAACAUGAAAUCCAAAAAAAGCUUGCUAAGUUAUUCACUUCACACAGGUCUUCCACGCAGUCCUAGGCUUGCACCUAGCACUAGCAGCAACAGUGAAAUACAAUAAAAGAAUUUAAAAAUAAGUAAAAUGAAAAGAUGGUGGGGACCAUCUUAAUGAUAAAACCGUGCAAUUAAACAGACAAUAGAGCUUCAUCUUCUUCCUUACGCGAUGCUGGGCUCUGCAACAAAAUUUUUUUCAGAUUCCGCCGUUCUCCACAUAAGCCCGCCUAGACCCCGCCCAACUUCACCCAGCCCCGCCUAGUCCCGCCUAAUCCCACCCAAACGUCCGCCUAAUAUGCUUUCUGAUUUUGUGACCGAUUAGGGCUUAAUCGCGGCGGUAACUCGCCGUUCAGCGCCUAGGUGGCCGCCUAGAUCGAUUUUUAGAACACUGCUAUUUCUUAGGUUUUGCCAUCAGAAAUUCAUCUAAUAGGUUUUGAUUUUUUGGUUUAUUGGAUUUUAAAGUUUUAGAGUAUUUGUGUCUAUUUAAAUGAAAUUUUGGAUGUAUUUGAAAGUUUAUAUAAAAACUGGCAUUUUUGAAAUUAGAAACUAAUAUUUGACUACAUAUGUCUACUCUUAAUUUUGAUAGUUUGCAGAUGGCGAAAUAUCUGUAAUGUUUGUUUGCAAAAGGUUGGGAUUUGGAAUGUUCUGAAACCCCAUGUCACUUUUUUCGUAUAAACUUAAAACACUUGGAAGUUUUAUCACAAGCAAUAUUACUAAUUUAGACCAUAUAAAGGGGCGGGGAUAGGGUUCGAACACAUGGAGUAGAGGGUUGAACCGGAAAGGUAAGUCCACCAAUUCCACUUUUAACAUUUGGUUACUGAAAUGAGAAAUCAAUUAUCGACACAAGAAUUACAUAAUUACCACGUUCUAAAAACAAGUCAUUCCAACAACCAAACGUCGAAAAUUAAAUCAUUUCGGCCAAAAGCCCUUGUCUACAAAUCCAAUCGUCUACCGGAUUAAUUACCAUACUAACAAAAUCGAACCAACACAAAUAAUAUGAAACAAUUGAACACGUGCUUUACAUCACACAGAGAUGUAUAAAUUAUUAAUAACCAUCAAAGAUACAGUUGACCAAAAUCCCACAAGUCAGAACCACAUAAGAAACAAAGUGAAAAUUAUCCUCUCCAGUUACAAAAAGAAUGUAAGCUUACCGAAAACCAGUCCCCACCGCUAAUCUAGAAUUCCAGUGCCUAACAUCGACGACGACCCGCUAAACAAGUUUCGAAACUUUCGCAAAGCUAACUAAAAAUGAGCCACCAGCCCUCACCCUCAAUUUCUCCCUUUCACCAUCGUUCUUCAAUGACUGAGAAGGGAACAGUUUGACAACAGAAUUGUAACAGACUGCUUACGACUUCUUCAUAAGAUAACCCAAAAGUAAUCCAAUCAAGCCAAUAACAAUGACGAAAAGGAUCGAAACGCCACCACGACUUUUGCUCCCUUGACGCUUCAAUAGCUCCUACACAAUAACUUAGUAAUUAAAACACAACAAUAUUUCAGAAGCGAGAGAUUUAACAAUCCAAUAGCGUGAAACCCGUGAAAAAAAAGGGUACAAAGCCUUUUUUAUUUUUAACAUGGACAUGAUUAAGGUAGAAGAAUAGAAGUAAAAGAAAUAAAAACCGACUUCUCACUGCUUCAGAAACAACCUCAAUCAUCUCCAAGAAAGUAACAAUACAGAGGACCGCUCCAAUUUGUUUUCACUCCUAAUCGUAACAUAACUUUUUGGUUUCCGUUUUAAGGAUCUGAAAAAUCCAGAACCUUCACAUGGCACGUAACUUCCCAAAGUUUAUUACUUUGUAUGAUGGGAAAACUACUAUAGCAUCUCUGCCAAAGGCCUACCUUCAGAAGUAGUUCAAAAGAGCUAAAUACCAAAAAUGCAAAACAGUAAACUAAGAAGUCAUUUACUCUUCAUUUUGGACCUUAUACAGAACCCGAGAGUAAAAAAUGUUCCUUAAAAGAGGAAGUCUACCACAUUAACAAGCUCAGCUAAAAUAAACCGAUCAACCGUCAAACUUCUUAUCAAGACCUAGUACACAUAGGGGUGACUAAUACAUCUACUCAUUGUGCGCGUUUUAUCAAAUAAAAACAUAUCAGAAAUGGAGAGAAGAUGACACAAUGAAUUUGUAGAGCUGAUAGAUUUUCUAUUAAUAUCGUUAGAAUAUACAACUCCGCCUGUGUAAGUUUAUCUUACAUUGCCAGUCCCAAGCCCGGAUAGAGGAGGAGGGGGAGGGCGUCAGGUAAUCGACAGCCGACACUCCUAGGUUACGUCGAAUCCUUAUGAAAAUGAAUCCAUAACAAAAUCGAGCUAAAGCUAGAGCGUCAUCCGUAAGUGGCGCGCUGUGUGGCCCGAGCACAGUGAUAAAUGAGUAAGGGUCGCUGUAUCUCCAUCGGCACCCGGAUGCAGUGUAAAAUGAGCAAGGGGGGUCAUAUAAACUUCUUUUUGAACGACUCCACUCAAAGUUGUUUGGAAGCAUAUGCUCCUAUCAACUUUACAAAGGACACACAAAAGAAGUACUUUGCUCCCUAUUAGACGGGGAGGGUGAAGAAGCUAGGACAGAAGAGUAGAGUUCAAGAGAGUAGAAUGCGUUCAGGAACGUGGAAUAUAGGAACCUUAACGGGAAAAUCUAUGGAAGUAGUGGAAAUUAUGGUGAGGAGAAGGAUAAGUAUUAUGUGCCUACAAGAAACUAAGUAGGUUGGUCUUAAGGCAAAGGAUCUAGAAAACUCAGGUUUUAAACUUUGGUAUUCGAGCACAAAUAGAACGAGAAAUGGUGUUGGCAUCAUCGUGGACAAGACCUUGACACAAGAUGUUGUAGAUGUUAAAAGGGUAGGAGAUAGAAUUAUGGCAAUCAAGAUUGUAAUAGGACAAAAACUCAUCAAUGUGAUUAGUGCGUACGCACCUCAAGUAGGGUUGGAUACGAGUUUGAAGGAGAAAUUUUGGGAAGAUAUUGGAGACUUGGUGCAAGGAAUUGCUCAGACGGAGAAGGUAUUUAUAGGAGGAGAAUGGACACGUGGGCAAGGAGACAGGCAACUAUGGAGGUUUUCAUGGUGGCCAUGGUUUUGGGGAGAGAAACGAGGAUGAGGAAGCCAUCUUGGAUUUUGCAAUGGCAUAUGAUCUCUUCUUAGCCGACACCUUCUAUAAGAAGAGAAAAGAACAUGUGAUCACCUACAAGAGUGGGUCGGCAAAAACACAAAUAGAUUUUCUUCUAAUGAGGAAAGGGGAUCGUAUAACUUAUAAGGAUUGCAAAGUUAUACCGGGAGAGAGCUUGGCUAAUCAACAUCGCUUGUUGGUGAGAUGUGCAUAUCAAAAGAGAGAAAAAAGAGCAAGAUUUGGAAGUGCCCAAGAACUAGAUGGUGGAAUCUAAAAGGACAAAAACAAGCCAUUUUCAAAGAGAAAGUAAUCACCCAAUGCGUGUGGGAUAGAGAGGAGCAAGCUAGCCAAAGAUGGGAUUCCAUGGCUAGUUGUAUCUGAAAAGUAGCAAAAGAGGUAUUAGGAGAGUCCAAGGGCUUUGCUCCACACCAAAAGGAAUCUUGGUGGUGGAAUGAGGAGAUACAAACAAAGGUGAAGGCUAAGAAGGAAUGUUGUAAAGCCCUAUACAAGGAUAGGACCGAUGAAAAUGGUGAAAGGUAUAGAAUAGCGAAGCAGAAGGCGAAGAAAGCUACGAGAGAAGCUAAGCUAGCGGCUUAUGACGAUAUGUAUAAUUGACUAAAUACCAAAGAAGGAGAGUUGAAUAUCUAUAAACUAUAAACUAGCUAGAGCAAGGGAAAAGAAGACAAUGGACCUAAACCAAGUGAGGUGCAUCAAGGAUGAGGAUGGAAAAGCUCUUGCUACUGAGAACACAGUCAAAGACAGAUGGAGAGGCUAUUUUCAUAAUUUUUUCAAUGAAGGACAUGAAAGGAGUACUUCUUUGGGGAAGUUGAGUAUUUCAGAAGAGAGUAGAAACUACUUCCUUUACCGCCGAAUCAGGAAGGAAGAAGUGGUUGUAGCUUUGAAAAAGAUGAAGCAUAGAAAAGCAGUGGGCCCAAAUGAUAUACCAAUCGAAGUGUGGAAAGUCUUGGGAGAGACGGGUAUAGCAUAGCUCACAGACAUUUUCAAUAGGAUUUUGAAAAAUAAGAAGAUGCCAAAUGAGUGGCGAAAGAGCACUUUGGUGCCUAUCUACAAGAAUAAGGGCAACGUACAAAAUUGCAUGAACAAUAAGGGUAUUAAGCUAAUGAGUCAUACAAUGAAGCUCUGAGAGAGUCAUUGAGCAUAGAUUGAGGCAAGAGACACGGGUUUCGGACAACCAAUUCGGGUUCUUGCCACCAUGGAGGCAAUCUAUCUCUUACAAAGAUUGAUGGAAAGAUAUAGAGAUAGGACAAAGGAUUUACACAUGGUCUUUAUAGAUUUGGAAAAAGCGUAUGAUAGGGUCCUAAUAGACAUUUUUUGGAGGAUUUUAGAGAAGAAAGGAGUACGAGUAGCAUAUAUCCAAGCUAUAAAGAAUAUGUAUGAGGGAGCAAAGACUGCCGUAAGAACUCAUGAAGGACAAACCGAAAGCUUCCCCAUAACUGUUGGGUUACAUCAAGGCUCAUCCUUAAGUCCUUACCUUUUUGCAUUGGUAAUGGAUGAGUUAAUGGGACAUAUUCAAGAUGAUAUUCCUUGGUGUAUACUUUUCGAAGACGAUAUAGUGUUGAUAGAUAAAACUCAGGAAGGUGUAAAUGUGAAGCUUAACCUUUGGAGAGAAGUGUUGGAAUCUAAAGAUCUUCGCCUAAACCGAUCAAAGAUAGAAUAUAUGAAGUGCAAGUUCAGUGCAAAUGGAGGCCAAAAUGAGUUAGGGGUGAGGAUCAGAGAUCAGGAAGUACCAAAGAGCGACCGCUUUCGCUACCUACGAUCUAUCUUGCGAAAGAACGGAGAAUUAGAUGGAGACCUCAACCAUAGAAUACAAGCUGGAUGGAUGAAGUGGAAGAGUGAAUCCGGCGUGUUGUGUGACCACCGUAUGCCACUGAAGCUAAAGGGAAAAUUUUAUAAGACGGCAAUAAGGCCGGCGAUGUUGUAUGGCACGGAAUGUUAGGCGGUAAAGCAUCAACACAUACAUAAAAUAGGUGUAGCGGAGAUGAGGAUGCUUCGUUGGAUGUGUAGGCACACAAGAAAGGAUAAGAUUAGGAAUGAGGAUAUCCGAGGUAAAGUAGGAGUACCCAAAAUUGAAGGAAAUAUGAGAGAAUCGGUUACAAUGGUUUGGACGUGUGCAAAGAAGGCGUACUGACGCUCCGGUUAGAAGAUGCGACUAUGGGACAAAGGUCCAGGGCCGAAGGGGUAGAGGAAGACCUAGGAAAACUUUGGAAGAGACUUUAAAAAAAAACUUAGAGUAAGAUGCGACUACGGGAUAGAGAUCCAGGGCCGAAGGGGUAGAGGAAGACCUAGGAAAACUUUGGAAGAGACUCUAAAAAAAGACUUACUUGGAUCUAACAGAGGACAUGACACCACUUAGUGGGAAAAGGCUUUGUUGUUGUUGUUGUUGUAUCGUUAGAAUAUACAACAAAACCUUUGGGAACAGGGGUACACCGAAGAGACUUUAACAUUUUAAGUCAAAUUCCACAUAUUGGGCUCUAGUGGUGGAGAGAGACACAUAUGAGGGAUAGUAUUCGAAUAUAAAUCUUUAUAGGGUCACAUCCUAACAGCUUAAGCUUCUGGGAACCAUCAGCAGGUAUGAAGUUUCAGUAGAACCAUAAUCACAUCCAACUCUAGGAUAGACCAAUAUGACCGUUGCAAAUUGGAACUAUUCAAUCAAUAUAGCAUACGUUUUUUAGGAGAAAAAUGCAUGCACAAGGGUGAGAAGGAAUAUAAAAGGGGUAAAGAAGAGGACAAAUAUAAUUCCAUUGAAGUUCAUAUCAAGCCCUCACCAGCUCUUGACGAAGCCUGUUACUAUGUUGAAUUGCUUUAUUCUUUUCCUCCGUCAGUUUCAAAAUAAGUGAUCUUGCCUGCAAUAACAAAAGUAAACGUAUAUAAGAACCAGCACAGCAAGCACCAUUAAUUAUAUGGUUGACAGCUACUACUUAGGGCACAAGGAAUAUUACAACCACAUAUGUGAAUUUGUUUUAUAUAUCAUGUGUCGAUUACGCAUUGUGAUAUUGAAAGAAACAACUUUGGGAAGAAGGUCAAACACAAAACUGGCUAUCUGAAAGAAAAAAAGGCAUACGCUCUUUCAUUUGCAACAAAACAGUAGAGUUUCUACCCCAUUAAAAGCAUAAAAUAGUUAGAUUUCUGAUAUGUUUAUGAUGCUUUGAGAUGCCGCAACCAGAUCUCUUGGGCAGUCAAUAAGCAAGAAAACACUAGUCAUACAAGGGACAAUCAAAAUAAACCAAAAGGUGGAGUCUUUGACAAAAAAAAAAAAAAAAAACCAAAAGGUGGAGUCUAGAAACUUUAAAUCAUUCCUGGACGAGCCUCAAAUUCAGGGAAGACUAAACCAUGGAAGGUGACAAAACGAGAAACAAAAACCAUGAUAUUUUGAAGUCCUUUCUCAAAUGAUGGGAUAAUCCUAAUCAAGAAUACGUAAAACAUAAUUUUCUUUGUAAUAUUGUACAUAUACUUGUAUGUAAGAAACCAAGUUAUCAAAAAGAAUGCUACUGAACCAUGAACACUUGACUGCAAUUUUCACCAUGAACAAAAACAAGCCAAUUAGAAAAGAAACAAAGAUACUAAUCAAGGUCCCAUGAAGCUUAUUGCCAUGCUUACUAGUUAAAACCAACUUUCAAUUUUUGUAGUACAUUCUUACGCGGUUCUUAGUCAAUAAUACAAGUUAAAUGAUAAAACAUUAAUCAAUGUGAGAGACAUCUGGCCUAACAACAUACGUAUCAGAUUUUCUGAAAAACAAAUAAGCAAAAUUCAGAAACUGAAUAAGAUAUAAGACUUAUAUACUCAGACAUGUUGUCUGUAUGUAUUAAAUUUACCUCUGCAGAUCUCUCCUGAGGUUCAAGCUCAGUAAAUGCUUUUGCAGCCUGUAAUCACCAAAAAAACAGCAUGCCAAUCAAUAUCUUUCAUGGACUGAAGACAAAAAAAAAAAAAAUCAUCCAAUAGUCUCAUAACUCAAGCACUCACAUUGGAAAACUCAAAACCAUUCACGUUUCCAUUCUCAGUAGCAGAAACCCUUGGUGAAGACCCUUCUUCUGACCCUUCUGGAACCUGAGAAGGCAGAUGAGGUGGAGAAACAUAUAGCACUCUUAAUUUGCACUCUUCAACUUCAUGUCCCGCCUCUUUAUUGAACUACACAGAACCAAUUCCACAGUGAAUAAAACUUGGCAAAAGUGCACAAAACAUCACUACUUACUAACAACAUUGUGUAAAAUAACUACCACUUGAGGAGUAAUAUCCUUCAUAGUUGCACCAUCGUUAGUUUUUAUACUCUGGAGGAGGAACUUGUCCUUACAUUGCAUGUCCGGAGGAGCCUCUUUUUGGGCUUGCAUUGUAACUGUAUCACAACAAACAAUUAAAACUUACAAAACCCAUAAUACAUAUUUUAUAUAUAUAUAUAUAUAUAUAUAUAUAUAUAUAUAUGUAUGUAUGUAUGUAUGUAUGUAUGUAUCAUAGGAAAACAUAAUGACUAUGCACCUAUAACAUCACAUGUGGAUCGAGGCAAGACAAUUCCGGUGUUCGGACGAACACAAUACUUCUGGGGGUUCGUAGUUUUGACCUGAACAUAAUCAAAUACAUAUCAAACCUCCAAAGCAAAACUAUAAACUUGACAAAUCUGCGUUUCAGUUCCACCGCAUCUCAAAACACACGUAAAAUUUAAAGCCCCAGAUUUUACAAACACCAGAUUCGAAUUCUACAUUCUUCAUGUUAUUUGAUUUACAAAAAAAAAAUAAUACGAAAAUAUUUGUAAAAUAACAUAAACUGAACCACAAUGGAGUGGAAACAGUAAUAUUUCGGGUUCCAAAUAAAUCAAAUACAUAAUAAUCACAAUCUUACUGCUCUCCUUUUUCCUACCAACCAAACAGAGUGUACAUAUACAAAUAUGUAUCUAGAUAAACAAAAUGAAAAAGAAAAGAGGCUGACCUUGAAAGCGACAUAGCUAUCGGUCUUAUUCGAGAGCUGGAGCGAACAGGAGAUCUGCUUCUUCAAUUCGACUGGAGAAUUUCGAAAAACAAAAACAAAAACGCAAAUUGAAAGCAGAAACGAAACCGCUAAAUGCAAAUUUUAGAAAACGAAAAACAGAUCGAAAGAGAAAGAGAGCGUGUUAUACUGACAGGGGAACUUGAGCUCCAGAGGCUCGAUGCUGAGAAGUUCGCCGGUGCUCAUCGGAUCCGAUCGAUUCGAAAAAUGGGGGAAUUCGAAUUGAAUGGGAAACAAAAACGAAAACAGAGAUUACACGGAGAGAUUGAGAGAGAGGGAGAGAGUGAGUGAGAGGGAUCGGGGAAUCGGAAGAAAAUGGUUGUGAUUUGUGAAUAUAUGAGUGGGGGAAGUGUUCUUUUUUUUAUUUUUUCCUGAAAGAAAUUACUUUUGUUUUUUUUAUUUUAUUUUUUAAUCUGAAUUUUGAAGACAGUUAUGCGAGAGAGUAAAUGAGUAUUUACUAAUUUUGAUUUUUGUUUUUUCAACGUGGGAAUAUUUUCGCUCAUCACAAUUUAGUGUGGUGCAUGUUCAUCAUCCUAUAUAUCAUUGUUAGAUAAGGUUAAAUUUUGAGAUUCGUGUAGUGGAUAAGCACAAAUCUCAAUAUUCAAACUCAUCUAACGGUGAUAAAUAUGAUGGUGAGCAUACAUUACACUAAAUGGUGGUGAGCAAAAAUGCAUUCUUUCAACUUGCGUUGAACUGUUUUUUUCAGUGUGACCGUCACACGAGGUGGUACACCACGUGUCUCUAUAUAAAUGGUGAGAUAUGUGUGUUGAAAGGUUAAUAACUUUAAAAUUUAAAAUUUUUCACCACUUACAUAAAAACAGGUGGUGUACCAUCAGUGUUCCCGUCACAACUAAAAAUUUCUCCUCUCAUUCCUCAUUUUGGCAUACAAUUGGACCGUGUUCAAUGAUAUACACUAUGUUCUAAAAAAAUUCAUUUAACAUCUCGAUUAAUGCUUUAGACAUUUGAAAAGUAAAAAAGGACGUAUAGAUCGCUUAGGCACUUGACUAUAUACCUUAGACACCCGUUCAGCCUGCCUAAACUCGCCUAGGUAGGUUGCGACUCACUUUAGACAAAAAAAUUAGAUAACUUUCAUUUAUAUUUUAUUUUUUUUAAUAAAUCAUAAGAGGCUUGUUGUCUAUGUUUUCAUUAUGUUCUAAUACUUUAUAAUAUAUAUAUAUCAUAUUAAGUAUAAACAAACACUUAUUUAUACAAAAUAUAAUAGAUUUAUUUAAAUCCGCCUAGUUCGCGUGGGUUCCACCCAGCAACCUAUGUGUUAAGUUCCAAUCCAUUGUCCGACUAGCACCUAGCGUGUUUUAGAACCUUAAUGCUACUUAAUAUUCAGUGUUAUAAAUGUGAAUCUUAUGUUUACAACUAUUGAAUAUUUUACUUUCAACGACGUCUAUUUUUUUUUACCACUCAAUAUUAUGUAUCAUUGAAAAAAAAAAUUGCAUGUAAUCUCUCUCUCUCUCUCUCUCUCCAUUUCUUUGUUUUUUUUUUCAUUAUUAUUCUUUUUUAAUAAUUUUUUUUAACUUUUAUGGGAUGUGUUGAGACUUUAAUUUUAGGACAAUCCCUUUCUCCUAAUCCACAAAUAAAUGAAUCUGUGCCGUUGAAAAUUGAUUCAACGAUUAAAAUUAUUAUAACUUUUAAAGUGGACCCUUGUUUAUAGCUGUUAGAUCAAAUUUCAACGGUACGAAUUCCUUGAUUUGGUGAAUUAGCUUGAUCCCUUUCCUUAAUUUCAGGGUUAGUUGUUGCUUUGAAGUUCUUUCAUAAUAUUUGAUAUGGGAAAAACCUAAUCAAAUCGAAAAAGAAGAAACAAUAAACGCAAGUAUUCAUGGACAGAUCCAAAUCCUGAGCCCAGGGAUCAAUUGAUACGGCCCGUUGAAAUUUGAUCCAAUGGCUACAAUUAUUAUAACUUUAAGUAGGACCCCUUGUUUGUAGCCGUUGGAUCAAAUUUCAACGGCCCGGAUCAAUUGAUCCCUAGGCUUAGGAUCUGGAUCAUUCAUGGACCACCCCCCACCACAAAUGGAAAGUGGGCCCUAUUUGGUUUAGGUUUAAAAACAAAUCACUUGAAACAUAUGAUAUCUGGUUUUUUUAGGAGUUUCAGGCCAAGACACGUAUAGAAAUUAGUGUUUAAAAUAUUAAUAUUGGAAAUAAGAGAUCUUAGUUUUGAAUUUCGUAGAUGGCCAAUUUGAUACCAAAUUAGACUGUUCAUUGUAUAGUUUUGCCAAACUCCCCUCUCCUUAGUGUAAAAAUAUCGAUGUAGUAAAAAAAUUGAUAUUGGUGAAAAUAUUAAUAUACAAAUUUGUGGAAAUAUCGGUAUUUGAUUUUUUUUUUCUCUCAAAAUAUCGGUAUCUAUGGAAAUAUCAAUAUGCAAAUUUGUGAAAAUAUCGACGAAUAUAUCGAAUGACACACCUCGACCCGGAAUGUCUACUUGGACUCCGAAUCGAGAUGUGUUGGCCGACACCAGGAGGGUGACGAAUCCAUAAAGUGUAGUGAUGUAGAAAAUGUGAAUAAAUUUAAACCUAAAAGUGCCUAAAUGUAAGAGUGCCCCAGUGAGCAUGAACCCUCCAUAUGCGAUGUCAAAGUAUAAGUAAAGUGCAGUAGAAUGGAUUGAGAAUUAUACCAUCGAAGGUAGCCUCCAAUACCAAGGUUUGCAAAGAAUCCUCGUUGAUACAAAAACUCAGUUACUAAAACCUAAAAGGGCAAAAAAUAAGGGUGAGUGGGCCUAAAAAUAAAGUUUUGUAAAAGCCUUUUCGAAAACAUAAUAACCCCUCGUUGAAAAACAAGUAUAAUUUCCAAAAUAUACAUACUAUGCAUAGUAUGAAAUUACUUACCGUAACCUGCAAUAUCUCAAGAAUUCGGUAUGUCACAAUAUUUCAUAAAUAAACAUAUAACGUCCGGUAAUCACAUAAUCUUUCAUAAACAAAUAGAUAGUGCAGGACUGGCACAUACAAGUCCUAAUUGCUUAUAGCAAUAUAAAACAGGAUUGGCACCUACAAUGGAUCCAAAGUGAGCGUGCGGUGUGAUGUGAACAUACAUAUGAAGCCUGGCCCGGGCAAGUACUGACACCAACGUAGCGCACGAUGAACAUAUAAUAUAAAUAUGAUCGUGCAAUGGUAAAUAGAUAAUUCUAGUCGACAUAAUACUAUUCAUUAAAAUGUUAAUCAUGGCUCUAACUGAGAUCCCAAAAUAGUUCACAUACAUGUGCAUCCCGUAGGAUUUAACAUAAUUUCGUGAACUCCGUCAUUUCGCUAAUUCUUAUAAACGAUAGUCUAAUUUAGGUAUGCAUAGAAAAUUCUUUAUUAAGUAUAUAUGUGGAAACUAAAUAAAUAUAUAAUAUUAAAAAGCAAAGACCCACUCGCAAGUACUGGCGAGAUCACAUCCAUUUGAGCUAGGAAAACCGAAACCUCCGAUAGAAGUCGCACCUAAGCAUAAUAUUAAGACCUAUUAGUAAAAACUCCACUAAAACAAUUAAAUUUGGGAAAAUGAAGUGCAUAUUUGGAAUUAGAGUGUCGAAAUACACUAAGGAGGGGGCAAAUUUUGUAAAAAGUCAACAAAAAGUCAACUGUUAACUCUAAAAAGUCAACCGAGACGUCCCGGUGGUCAACUAUGUUAAAACUUUGAAAUUUCACUAAAUGGAUAUCAAAAAUGGACUCAGGACGUCGAAAUUAGCCUAUGAGGAUUUCUAAAAAAAUUUCGAAAAAGUCAGCAAAAGUCAAUUAACAGUCAACAUUUAAUUUUAACGAAAUAUUCCCACCUUAGAUCAUUCAACAUUUAAUUUUAAAAAAAGUCAAUUUCUGAGUGGAUUUGGGUCGGUUUGGCCCACGGAUCUAGGCUUGGGCCCGUUCUCGGUUUGGGCCUGCCUUUUAUUUUUUUAAACAAAUCGAGUCGACCUGGUCCCAGUCGCAGAUCCGUUUGCCAGUUUUUGGAAAAAUAUGGCAGGAAAGCUUUCACAACUCCGAUUAGCCCGAUUUCACAACUAUUUUCAACACAAUAUAUAUGGAUUUGAAGCUCAGAGAGAGAAGAAUAAUUGUAUACCAAAAUAACUUCGAGUCAUGGUCGGGAUCGGCCGGAAAUAGGCCUUCAACUCACGGCAUCCCUCGCCGAAAAACUGGGUUUGUUGACCUCACGUCCUUUCUACAUCUAAUCAUGCCAAAACACUCGCGAAAUGAGUUAAUCUUCAUCAAAAGGCGAGGAGAAGACAAUUCGAAUGGUCUCGUAGGGGAAGACGAUGAACAGUGACUGUCACUGUUCAAAAAGAGAGAGAAGUCAGCCCCAGGCUCGGCCCUUCGUUCUGGUCGUACGAGCAGGUGAUGAUGAUGGGAUGUGGACGUUGAAGUCUUGAGCAGGUGGUGAUGGUGGCCUGAUGUCUGGGCUUGCAGAGGAAAGAGAGGGACGAGAGAGUAGAGAGAGGAGGACAGACUUUAAGGGAGGUGAGAGCGGGAGAGACUAAGCGAGAGAGAGAAGAUUCUCGAGCAUGGCAGUGACGGUGGUCGCCUCACCGGACACGGUGGUGACGUGGUGGCAUGUGUGUGUGUUUCCCGGAGAGGAAGCGUGAGUGAGAGAGUAACAUAGAGCUGAGAGAAGGAGAGAGUCUGGGAGAGGUUUCCAGUGAGUUCGGGGAGGACCGGCGAGAAGGAAGUGGAGAGUUUUGAGGUGUGGGCCCCACGGGCCAAAAUAAAUUUCUAAAUUAUUAAAAUAUCCACCAAAAUAAUAUUAUAAUAAAAUAUUGAUACAAAAGUAAUAUAAUAAUUAUGAAAAAUACAUAAAAUAAUAAAUAGUAUUUUUACAAAAGUAUUUUUCGGAUUGGUAAUUCUGUAAAACCUCUAUCGUAACUUCGAUUUUGAUUUUGCUUGCGCUUACACAUUCAUACCGUCGAGUACUUCGAAAAUACGGUAAAAUAGUAGCUUGUACACACCACGAAAAGAUGAUCAACGAAAGUCAACAAUCUGGACUCGAGGACCAUUUUCGUUAGUUCACUUCUUUAAAAAUAUUAAAAUCGUAAAAUUAGAGACGAGUUGUUACAUCAAAUAUUAGUAUCGAUAUUGGUUGCUUUCGAUGUAAAUGAUGGAAAUUUAAAAUGAAAUUUUAGGGAUUGUCAAACAUUAGUUUGGACGAAAUAUAAGAGUUUAUUCGAUAUUUUAAAGAUGUGUCGGAAAUAUCAAUAAUAUCUGUUGAUUUUAGCUUAAACUUAAGAGUUUCUCCAAUAUAAGAUGAAGUUUAAACUUCACCUUCCAUUUUCUUAUCUUUCUCUAACUUUUUGAAUUUUCUGUAAAAAUCGUAUCGAAAAAGUUUUAAAUACUGGUAGAAAUCAGACAAUGUAUUUACUAAGAGAUUGAGCUGCAUUCAACUUCAAUAACACGUUAAAAUUGGGAGUCAUGUUCAUUAACCUGGAUGAAGUAGUGCUUUUGCUUUGUGAAAAGGUCAUUGGACUUUAAUGGGUACUUAAUUCCCUUUAAUGAUUCUCGGGUGGUUAUGUUACAAUCCCACAAUUAUUAUUCUCUAACAAGACAUUAUUAGUCCUAAUUAUUCUCCAAUGUCAUCGUGGUUCUCGCAGUCGUGAGCUAGCAGAUACUGUUGAAAAUGACUGCUCCUAAAUUAAGACUGGUUUAAGAUUGUAGUGCUUUAAAAAAAAAACAGCUUAUAAAAAAAUCUGAAACAUUACAUGUGUUUGGUAAAACUAAAAAAAAAUGUUUUUCUAAAACAUUAUUGUCAAUGACAGUAGAAAAACAUAGAAAAACAGAAGCAGGGUCUACCAUACUGCUAAAAAAAUAUUUUUUUUUUCAAUGCAUAUUAAUCAAUGCUCAUUUAAUAAAAUUUUCAAACGACAAGUAUACUCAACAUGUUUUAUAAAAUUACAAUCUUUGCCCCUACAGUAUUGACUUUGACAAUUAUUAUAUAAAUACUAUAUAUUUUUUCACCAUUUAACAUAUUCAAAACAAUUUAUAUAAAAAUUUACUUGACACUAAGACACUGUGAUGCGAUAAUUAACUUUACACACAAAUUAAACUCUCUUUUGACAAUUGUAGUAUAUGUAUAAGUAGGGAUCGUUCUAGACCGGGGAUUAGGAGGGCUUGCUAAUAACCUCUAAACUUACUCAAAAACAUUAAACUAAACUUAAAAACACUUAACAAGACUCACAAGACUCAAAGCAAACUUAAAAUACUCAAAACAGCUUAAAACAACCAAAUAAACUUAAACUAGACACUAGGAAUGACUUUGGACGAAAAUUGACUUUUACUUGAAUCAAAACACUUAAAAACACAAACUAAAACAUAUUCUCACUAAUUAAACACACUAAAGUAAAGGGGGAUUGAGUUUUGGACGAAUUUAAAAUAAAAACAAGUAACUAAAACUUAAGAUAGAUUUUGGACGAAUUUGGUUGAAUUAGAUGGAUGAUAAGCUAGCUAGAGACUCUUUCUCCACACAUGACAUGUAUGCAAACGAAUCAAUUUCCAGUUACUCCUUCAUCGAAUUAUAAACGACAAUGCCCCAAAUUAACCGUGACAUCACUAGUUAACUCUCAUAUUUUCCUUGUUUAUUGGAUUGGAUGACAUCAUUCGACAACCCAAAGCAUUCUUCAAAAGUUCCCUACAUGACAUCAUAAUAAAGAUACAAUCAAAGAUCAUUACGUUCAAUGAAAAUCAUAAGCAUUGACAAAGCACUUGCAACUAUGACAUCAUGUCACUCAUGCUAGGAAUUAAACUUAACGCGAUCGUUUAUAAGCGACCUCCACUACUUGUAAAUAUAAGUUUGUAACGAUUAUGUGAAACUUUCUUAUAUUCUAGCAACGUAUUUAUGCAUGCCAAUUAAGUGUCAACCCUUAAUCAAUAAAUACAAAUAAGUUAUCAAUCAAAUAGUUAAGCCAAUUGCAUUCAUGAUUCAAGAACUCAUAACUGGAAUAUAUCAACUCCUAUUGCACACAUAAACAUGGCUUUGAAAUCACCCCUAGCCAAGAGGGGUUUAGUUCCUCAUGUUCGCAAAACAAAGAUACAUAAACUUAAACAUUGAAAACAAAGAAUGAAAACACCUAAAAACGCUCCAACAAUCCAACUCGAAUGGCAAGCACGUCCAAGGGUCCUCCUUCUUCUCUUUGUUGCGGCACAAGGUGUGGUUUGAUGGAUGAGUGGUAAAUUAUGGUGGUGGAUGGAUAUAGGUGAGUUAUGGUGAAGGGUGGAUGGGUGGAUUGUGUUCAUGCCUCUCCCUCUAAAUUUGAACAAGUAUAUAUUCUGAAUUUAGGCUUAUGUGGUGGUGAAAAAGGGUGGUGAAUGGUUAAGGAGAAAAAACCCUCCUUGCGGCAGAAUGUGUCUUUCCUUCCAAGCUAUCCGUGCAGUUUGCAUGUGUGUGUAUGAGUGAUGUCUCCACUCUUUGCAUGUGCCGUGUGUGAAUGAUGCUCCACUUUCUUUUCUCCCAAACUGUCCGUCUAUCCUCCUUCUUCCAUGUGCCAGCCCCUCUUUUCAUGUGUGUGUGCUGUCAUGUAAUUAUCAUUUCCACAUAACAUCAUUUCAGCUAGCAAUCACACACUUUUUGCCCAUGCCGUGUCUCUCAUUUCCUUUGAUGUGUGUGUGCUAUCCUCUUCUUUCUUUCCCAUGUGCCGUGUAUGAAUGUUGUCUCUCUGUCUUUUCAUGUGUGUGUGCUGCCAUUUAAUCAUCAUUUCCACAUUGUACCAGCUGUUACACUUGCACACACACACAUGCUGAUUUCCAACCUUCUAAUCUUCAAAAACGUCCAUCCUCAUUUCUCCAUGCUUGCACUAUGCAAUCUUGGCCCAAAAAUGCUCCAAAAUGCUCCAAGUAGUGAUGCGAAAUAUAUAAGCACACAAAUUAAACCCUCUUUUUAUCAAUUGUAGUAAAGUAUGUA
rnacentral:lncRNA from 1 species